CUUGGCGCCAAGUUCGGCGGCCACCCGCCCAGGAAGUGGAUUGGGGUGUUCCAGGCCAGCUCGGAAGGCGCGAUCCGUGCCGGCGAGAUGGUGGGCCUCGAGGGCCGCUUCCUGCGUGCAAUCGACUUUCGCCUGUUCUUAGAGACCUGGGAGUUCGAUUCCUUCUGCCUUGUGCUGGAGCGGGGGCCUCGGGCACCAAGGGGCGGCAGCGGUAGCGUUGGCUGCGCCAGCAAGAAGAGGCAGGCGGACGCCACGGUCGGAGAGGAUGAGCGCCGCCGCGUCCGAGCUCGCCUGCCGCCACCUGCCGUCUUGUCCAAUUAGGAUUUGUUUUCAAUUUGAAGUUUCGCCUUCAAUUCGCUUAUUAUUUCUUUUAGUUGCUUUUGAUUGUUCGUCUAUCUAUUUUUGCUGCAGGUACAAGGCUAGGAGUAGAAGUGUUCGAGGUGGAGAAGGCGUUGUCCAGUGUCCGAUCAGGGAUCAGCUUCUCCUUGCUGGAGCCUGGAGGAGAGCCUGGUGUAGGAUGCGUCGUCCCGCUUCGGAUCAUGGAUGACCUCCUGCUCGUCGCCAGAGCCUGGAUGGUAGUCAACAGAUCUUAGUUUUAGCCAAGGUUGUUAAAGCGAUUGCUGGCUCACUGAAAGAGUUCUCUAGUACUGGGUUUUCAAGCUUUGGAGUCAAUAAAAAGGGCACAAUAUGGUGUUCUGUACUCUGAAGUUUCAGUGUUUAGUCUGUUUGAGCUACUGCAACUCAGUGAAUGAGUAUACUAUCCUUCAGUUCUGCCAGAUGUUAUCAGUUAAUAGGUCUCAUUGCCUUUUGUAUUAUUGCAGUAGAUUAGGCAAUUUACUUGUGAUUAGGAUGUGUUUCUUCAGUGCUCGAUUUUGGUGUGAUUCUUCUCUUCUGUGUAAGACUUUCUCAGAUCAAUAAAAGGGAUAAUAAAGUGUCAGACUUUUGUCAUGAAAUGUCCAAUUUUCACCCUCUGAAGUCUGAUUUUCAACCCAUAACUACAAAAGUGGACAGGGACAACCAUCCAACGGGCAAAUUUGGCCCUUUGGUGGUUUCGAGGGUGGUUUUCCAUUUUCAAGAAAUUUUAAAAGUUUUGACUUAAUCAAAAAAUUCAUAACUAAUUCAUUUCAAAUCCAAAAAAUAUGAAGUUGGUAAAAAAAAUUUCUAAAAUUGUAGGCUAUUUGUCUGUGGGGGGGGAUGUGUCUACUAAUGCAAGAACUAGCGAGGAAACAAAUAAUGAUCCGCUCAAAUAGAAACAGGAAACAGUAUCAGGUAAAGAAUUAGAACAAACGGAAGAACAUAAGCAGCUUUGCAAUGGUCAUUGUAGCCUCUCAGAAUUAAUCCUCCAUGAAGGCAUGAACCAUGACUCAUCGUCUGAUUCCCCUCGAUAUGUGAGCAGUAUAUGCUUACAGAUUCGCACUGCAGCUGUGCAGCAUGUCAGGAUGCCACUUUGAGCAGCAUGUUUGUUCAUCAAAUUUUCAGUCUCCUUUUGAUUUGCAUGUCUGUCUUCAAACGCAUAUUGAGGCAGGGGAUUCUAAAUCUGACAUUCCGACUAUCUGAGAGCACACUCAAGUUAACUACCAGGUCUCCGCCAGCCCAAAUGUGUAGCCUCUGUUUCUAUGUUCCCUCUGACAGUUUAGCUGAAAAUGGAUAGUUAGGAAAAACAUUAUCUUGACGUACUGAAAGGCAACCAUCUACUUCAUUUACAACGCCCACCCUCUCUGUGACCAUGUUUCCAAUAUGCCUUAACAAUAUCUGGUCCGAAAAAGAAAAGGCAGUGCUAGUGGCAAAAAUUAGGAAGUAUCAUCAUUAACUAUUUACUGUUCAUAGCACAGGUCCCUGAACUAUAUAUAGUACUAAAUAAAUUAUGACUCUUGUGGCCUUGCCUAUACUAUUCUAGAACAAAGGUGUGUUCUCAAAAUACUUAAAUUUACUUCUAUUUAAGUUUGGCCCCAAUUAUUUUGACUGUAUUUGACAUUAAGAGUUAACUGUGUAUUAAGAGUCCUUUUGAUAUUUCAGGGAAUAAGAUAUUUGCUAAUAUUCUGGACUGUUCAUAUGUCUUUACCAUGUUACCCAGGAAAUGGCUCCAUUUACUUAUAGAUGGCACUUUGAGCAGCAUGUUUGUUCUUCAAAAUCCCAAUGUCUCUCAUUUUGAUUGUCAUUUUUGAAAAGACGCAAUGCGUAAUCAUCACCAUGCCAUGAGCCAUGUAUCUGCUAUGCAGGCGCCUGUUUUCAAACGCAUAUUCAGACAGGGAAUUCUUGUGGAUCAGUAUUUGUAUUUAUGGUGGGGGUACCAGCAAGUUCUCCCUCUCUAAGAAAAUCUGAGAGCACACUCAAGUUAGUGGCCAAGACUCAUAAAAGAUGUAGUCUCUGUUUCUAUGUUUAGUCUGUUUUUUUUUGGGCGAAAGUCUAUGUUUAUACUCUGACUUAUGAAAAUGGAUAGUUAGGAAAAACAUCAUAAAACAUCAUUCUUAUGUACUGAAAGGCAAUCAUCAAUUUUUAUUUACAAUGCCCAUCCUCUCUGUGACCAUGUUUCCAGUAUGCCUUAACAAUAUCUGGCCAAAAAGAAACAAUGGUGCUGGCGGCAUAAAUUUGGAGGUAUCUUUUUUCUAUCAAAUCAACAAUCUACUAUUCAAAUCCCGGACUACAUAAGAUUAAAUAAAUUAAUGAUUCUUUCCUAUACUGAUCUAGAGUAAAGAUGUGUUCCCAGAUUAUUUAAAUUUACUUUUUUUAGAAUCCGGGCUAAUCAUUUUGACUGAAUUUGACAUUAAGAGUUGACUGUAUAUUGCCAAGUUGACUUGUGAUAUUGGUUAGCAUUCGAGAUUCUUGUACUAUUUACCACAUAGCUAUUUUUGCUAAAAUUUGCCCCUGGUUGCUUGGCAAUUUAGAUUUCUGGUACUUCUGUGAGGUGGGUAUCAUGCUCAGUCGUGUGGACAGCAUGCAAGAAUCAAGUGUUAAUCUUACUUCUACCUCUAUCUUGUAGAUGCCAUUUUGACAAUACUGCAAUUUGUUUUCCAUUACAUACUACAGUGUGUUCACAUCUCAUCUGCAUUUAGUCAAACAAUAAAUACAUUGUACCAAAAGCCUGUAUAUAUCCUAUUUUUCUUGCGAUUAUGGAUAUGAAGCCCUCCUAAUAUCUGCUCAUUUCACAGUUGACAUGAGCAGUAGUUAGGCCUACCAUUGGGAAGGGUAUGGGCAAACCCACUCUUAUUUACGUCCAAAUCCAAAUAAUUAUUAUCCACUCCUUACCCUCCUCAAUCCCACCCAUAUCCAAUGGAUAAUUAAUAUUGUACUACAUAUAUAUAUGCAUAUCCAAUUGAUUAAUCAUAUCCGCCUCAUAUCCUACCCUCCUCAUUUCUAAUGAGUAUAUAAUUUUCUACUCGUACCCUCCCCAUUUGAAUUGGGUGUGAAUUAAGGGAGAGAGUAUGAUACCCAGUGGCAGGCCUAACUGUUGUGGAGGCAUGCGAUGUCCUCCUUCCCUACAAGAUCCUUCUUGAGUCUUGACAUUGUUUUUAGUAUCAUUAGUAGUCAGUUUUGACAGUCAAAUCUUUGAGCUAUUAUUACAUCAAAGUUCAAAGAUACAUCCUAAAGCUAGUUCCAAGUUCGUAAGCUAAUGACAGGCGAUUCUUUUAAACAGAAAGGCAUCAUAGUUUCUCUGCAUCCGUUAGUUGUUACUAUUUUGUUUUUUAUGCCAUGCACAAGUCGACCUUGAAUUGAACUGAAUAGCCUAGUAGUUCAAAUCGACUUGUUUAGUGGAGGUGCUGAUGACUUGUGUUGAACAGUGUACUUGCACACUAUAGGUGACGCCGUGACGGUGACUUCUAUUUAACAAUGCUUGAUAGAACUUCAUUUCCACAUUAAUCGAAGAAGUCCAGUUUUAACCUAUAAAUUCACGUCGCGAAUGUCGAAGGUGAAAGCAUCUAAGCUCCUAACUUGUGUUUUGGUAAUUAAUGACGGUCUUAGUGGACUAACAAUUUCUUCUUUAUAGGCAACUUAAAGUUGCUUAAAGUUGCUUAUUGUAGUUGCUUAUUUUUUAGCUCUAAGUGUUUGGUUUCCACAUUGUAGUUGCCCAAACAGCUCUAGCUUCCUCUAGAUGACCCGUAGCCAGUCAUCUGCGUCCAGAGGGUUGACAGACCCGCCAAAAGUGGGUGGCUUGGUCCGGAGGAAGUCCGUCAACUUCUCAUUCAUGCUCUGUCCGCGGGGCCUUAGCGAGUGAUGGCAUUGGCCAAGGCUUCCAGCAGAAGGGUCUGGUUGUUCAUCACUUGCACCAGAUCAAUGACCAGUGGGCACGGUGGCUGUUGUACUCCCACUUGGGUUUCUCCCCUACCCUCGGGCUGAUUUACUUCCUGCUCCUCAUGGUGCACUGCUGGUUCUUGCCCUUCCUGCUGUCUUUCUGCACUAGGGGUGGCACGGGCUUGACUCGGGGAGGUCUUGGUAGCACGCUUAGGAGGCAUCUGCAGAUUGAGUGAACUUUCAUGAGACUUGGAUUUGGAUUUUAAAGUGAUGUUUAGUUAAUUAGCUCGGGUUUUCGAAAAGACAGAAUCCACCUCCUGACAACAAGCACACAGACUAACAAACAACAAACACAAAUAAUUUUAUUAUUUUGCCGGGGUGGUUACAACACUUGGGGUGAGGCCAAAACACGCACUACACGGCCGGUACAACAACACAACUGGGGUACAAUUCUAGACUCGGGACGGCUUCUUAGGUACAACUCUAGGUGGGGCAUUCUACUCGCGGGACGAAUCUUCACCCUGAACAGAGUGGUCUUCUGGCGAAAUAAGGAGGGCCAGCACAUCAUCCUUUAGGGUCCCACCUACUGGAGGGGGCUCUGACGCUUCUCCAUUGGCCACCUCAGAGUCUUUUUCCGAAGGAGGUAGGGUGGGGCAUCAGGGCUUUUCCGCUUGCCGGAUCCUUGGGCAACAGGGACUCCAUCCAAGAUUGGGGCCUUGUCGUCCUCCACGACCCGCAUCUUCCUUCUCGCGCGGUUCGUGUGAUGGGCCUCCUUCAGUGCCCGAGAGUGCCGAUCCUCGGCCUCCUUGAGGGCCUCAAUGGCGACGGCCUCAUUGCUUUGGGCGGCCACGGCUCGUGCCUCAGCUGCUGCCAACCUCACCUGGAGUCUCCUUACCAUAACCUCUGCGUCCUCGGCUCUACGAAUUUGCUGCUUCAGAUGUGCGGUCUGCUCAUCGUAGAGCUCAUCCAAGGUGAGAAGGUAGGCAGCCAUGUGGAGCACGGUGGGGUCAUCCUCGCGCUGUCGACGUCCUUCCAAAGUCCUCACCCGGGCCAGCCAAACCGGGCGGUUCUUCUUGACAGGCGGGUAAAACCUCAUCGGUGUGCGGCCGAUGUGCCUCUCAUAGAUCUGGCACAGGUAGCGCAUAGCCUUCUGAGCUGCCACCUGGUAAGUGUCUUUCCGCUGGAAACCAGUGGCAGACACGUUCCAUGGCUGAAUGUUGGGGUAACGACUGCUCCUGCCGACGUAGAUGGUCAUCUCACACCGGAGGGUCCCACGGUCUUCAUACUCCCGGCUAGUGUACUCCGGGCGCUCAUAAAUCCCAAGGCGGUCCAUGCAGGCGAACAACAACCUAGGAAAACCGAGCUCCACCAGGCAAUGGUUGUUGACCCACCCUUCUUCGGCCAUCUGGAAAGAAUCGGGGUGUAAAUCAGUUUUGCAAUUGAGCAGAGGAAGCAAGAAAUUUUGUAAAAUCAUUUAUUUUUGGUCAAAAAGGCUUUUUUGAUCCUAAUGGUCACGUCCUACGGCGAACGACAGCUCUGAUACCACCUGAAGCGUCCCCACAUAAGUAGAGACUAAAUAUGAUACAAAUAUCAGUCCCAUGAGGCUGAUAGCACAUUUAUUCAACAAAUAGUUCAGAAAUCGUACAACUCCCGAGGGAGCGGGCGGGCAAGCCACACCCAAAGUAAGACUAAACCGAUAACGAUACAAAUCCAAGUUGCAGUCCAGUCGGACUCUGGGCUGCAAUCGGAACUAUGCGUCAGCGGAAGCAUCCUGCAAAAGACCAACACCACAGGCAACGUUGGGUGCGGACGCGACCUCCUACUCGGCGACGUAGUCUGGGUCCUCCUCUAAAGCAACAAAACAGGGGUGAGUACAAAAAUACUUAACAAGUCCAACCCCAUCCACAGAGGGGGAUACAACAGGAGUAUGCACAGGAUACAACAAGGAUGAGGUUAAGCUUCUUUUGCAAUAAAGCUAGAUUUUCCACACAUGCAAUUGUUCAUUUUCAAAGAGUUUUUUCAAAGUAUUUUCUUUAGUAAUUGAAACAUUGAGUGGGGUUGAUCCUACACAAAGGAUCCAAGUUUUAUCGCUACCGGACUCCCCGUCCGCCAUAGCCCACGGCACAACAGCCGGACACUUCCAAAAUUCAACGCACGCCAUAAAAACCAUCCCUCUCCAAAUGCUAGUUAUUUGACCAAGCCGUAACUCGUACAAUACCGUGGACACGACUACCCGGAUAGGUUUUAACUCUGUAGAGGUUGUACACUUUUCCCACAAGUAGGGUACCAUAGCAUGAUCACCUUAGUGCCGGUGCGGAUCCUAACAAAGCCAUUACCCACCUUAGCCAAGACUGACUAGUCAACACGAAAGCACUCAAGGGGUUAACGACCUACCAUCGAGGUCUUAACCAGGACCUAAGUUACAAAGAGCUUACUCCUUUUUCUUGGGCUCCCGUUGCUCACCAGCUCACCCGAAGACUAACAGUUUAGCUAGUGGGAUUUAUGCUAAGACGUCACCCAUACAACGGUCGAGUGGUUGCACGAUGGUUGAAUUAGGAAAGAUGACACAUCAACUCGGUCCUUAACUAUCAUAAGAUGGAUAUCUCCCAACCUUGCUCAACCACUAAGGUACGAGCCCAACAUUCUGGCAUUUCAUACAAGAAACACCCAUCCAUCUCAUCUACACAUUUCUUGCCUUUGAACCCGGAAACCCAUCUUCUCAUUUGAAAACACUCAUGCAUUUAGUUUCUAAAUAAACCAUUGUAGUCGUGAUUGAAUUUGAGUAACGAGUUCCUAAGCAUUCUAGCAGUAAUUAUCAUCUAAAUAGAGCAAGUCAUAUUUAGAGACAAAUAUAGGACAACAAGGAAUAAUCAUAACAAUUAAGGGGUGGCUAUCCAACCAUGUCUUGCAAUAAAAAUAAUAUGCACUUUUAUAAAACAGGCCGAUAGGUUGUGUUUGAAAAACUAGGAAUAAAUAUGCAUCAAAGGGUGAGAUUGAACUUGCCGUUCUCAAAGCCUUCAGGGGGCUCCUGCUCGCGGUACUGGUUCUCGGGCUCGAGCUCGUGGUCGAACUCCUCCUUGGGUACUCCACGAUCUAUGGCACACACAAAUGAGCACACAAUAAAUAAAAAGAAAAUAAGAUUUUAUCCGUUGAGCUCCGAACAGAGAAUGCGAACGGAAAAUAGGUGGGGUGAGUAUUUUCAUGAAAUUUGGAUAUGCCUCGGCGGAAGUAUAUGGGAGGAGGCUGUGGUCGAAUUUGGGAUCAAUUGGAGGAAGUUUGGCGCAUGAACUGACGAGUUAAAGGAGUGUUAGGGCUUAAAACAAGGUUUUAGGACUACACUGCGAGAACCAGGGACCUAUUUGUAAUUAUUUCUGAAAGGUGGAAGGGCGUAUUCGUGAAACUUCUCUGAGAGAGGUGGGAGGGCUGGUUUGCAAUUAGAGGAAAGGAGCGGGGUAGAUCAAAAUUGAAGGGGAUUUUCCCCUUCUUCUUCCAUGGACCGUUACCUGAGAUGGAGGAGGGGGAGGAACUCGGUGGGGGGGUCGGCCGGCCGGGCCUCGCGGUGGCGGGCCGUGUGGUGGGGGAGGUAGAGGGGGAUGAGGGGGUUCCAUUUGAGGCAUCACCUCGGGCGGAUGGUGGCCGGAGCUAGGGGGCCGGCGGCGGGCAAGGAGGCGGCGGGUGGACCUCCUAGCGGCGGCGCGUGGGGCGGCGGGGAAAGGGGACGGCGAGCAGAAGGGAGAGGUCGAGGUGGUGGUGAGGGGCGGCUGGGCCUUGGCCCUUUUAUAGGCGACAGGAGGGGGCGGGCAGAGGCCAGAGGCGAUGAUGGCGGCUGAGACUUCCGGCCGGUGGCGUGUCGGAGUGGAUGUGCUCGUGGAUAGCGUGGUGGCUCAGUCGACGAGGAGGCACAGGGAGCAACGACUGUGUGGGGAGGCACGCCAGGUAGGGGUGGGCGGAGGCUGGACGGCGGGCGGUCCGACGUGUCCGGUGGCGCGCGGCGCGGCACGCGCGGCCUGGGCACGCGCACGGGCGGGCGCGGCGCGGGGCCAGGCGCGGGCGGCGCGGGGCCAGGCGUGGGCGGCGCGGGGCCAAGCGGGCGGGGCCGAGCGGGCGGGUGGGAGGUGAUAGGUGGAUGGCUCCAGGCGGGCGGUGUCGGGCGCCAAGCGUUAGGGGGAGUAGCUCCAGGAAGAAAAGAAGGAGGGAGAAGAAAGGAGGAAGAAGGAGGAGAGAAGAAAGAAGGAAGAAGGAGAAAGGAAAAGAAGAAAAAGAAAAAGGGGAAAAAGGAGAAAGAAAAAGAAAAGGGAGGGGAAAAUGGCGAAAGUUGCGGAAUUGACUGGCACGCUUGAUGGAUUUGACGGGCACGCGGCAAAAAUUGCGGGGAACGAAAAAAGAUGAUGUCGCGCUAGGUGACGGGAAGACGGGGUCACCAGGGAGGAAAAGAUUUCUCGGGAGCUCAAUGGUCGGAAAAAUUUUGAAAUAAAUUUUUAGCGAGUGAUUUGAGUUAGUAAUUUUUUGGAGCAUUACAAACCUACCCCACUUGAAUUGAAUCUCAUCCUUGAGAUUCGGCUGAAUUCUGAAAGGAUGGGGAAACUCCUUUAAUGCAUCCUCACGUUCCCAAGUAGCUUCUUCUUCACCAUGCCUACUCCAUUGGACUCUGCAAAUCCGUACCACAUAAUUCCUUGUACUUCUGGUGACAGUGUCUAGAAUCUUGACAUGUACCUCCUGAUACCGCAGAUCCUUUUGCAAAUCUAUGGUUUCCAUCGGUACUUGUUCUUCCGGUACCAUCAAGCAUUUCCUUAGCUGGGAAACAUGGAACACUGGGUGUAUAUCCGACAUUUCUUCGGGCAGCUGAAUACAGUAUGCUACAGCUCCAACUCUUUUUAGUACCUGGUACGGUCCAAUAUACCGAGGGGCUAAUUUUCCUUGCACUUGGAACCUUCGGGUACCUCGAAUCGAGGAGACCUUGAGGUAGACGAAGUCUCCUUCAUUGAAAAUCAACUCUCGUCUUCUUUUCUCUGAGUAAUUCUUCUGCCUAGACUGUGCUGCCUUUAGCUUCUCUCGAACUUCGGCUACUCAAUCUUCUGCUUCUUUGAUAAAGGCGGGUCCCACUAGAGUGCGCUCUCCCACUUCCAACCACAUCAACGGGGUCCUGCACUUUCUUCCGUAGAGAGCCUCAAAUGGUGACAUGCCUAAGCUGGCUUGGUAACUGUUGUUAUAUGCGAACUCUGCAUAGGGUAAACUUUGUUCCCAGUCCUUGCCAUAAGUAAGGACACAUGCCCUUAACACAUCCUCCAUAAUUUGAUUCACUCUUUCUGUUUGGCCAUCGGUCUGGGAGUGAUAGGCUGAACUGAAAUCCAGUUUGGUGCCCAUGGCUUUAUGUAGACUUCUCCAGAAUCUAGAGGUAAAUUGGGUCCCUCUAUCCGAAACAAUUCUGCUAGGCACACCAUGCAGCUUCACUAUGUUGUCCACAUAGAGUCGAGCUAGCCUUUCUCCACCAUAAGUGGUCCGUACAGGUAGGUAGUGAGAAACUUUAGUGAGUCGAUCCACUAUUACCCAUAUGGAGACAUUUCCUUUCUGAGUCUUGGGUAAACCCACUACAAAAUCUAUGCCAAUCUCGUCCCAUUUCAAAACUGGGAUGGGUAGUGGUUGUAGUAAGCCUGCUGGCUUCUGGUGUUCAGCCUUAACCUUUUGGCAAAUAUCGCAAUGGGCGAUGAACUGGGCUAUGUCCGCUUUCAUCCCAUUCCACCAGUACUUCUGUUUUAAGUCCAUAUACAUCUUGGUGGAUCCCGGAUGGAUGGAGUAUGCCGAGUUAUGGGCCUCAUCCAUGAUGGUCUACCAGAAAUCACCUUCCUUGGGUACGCAAAUCCUAUCCUUGUACCAUAAGGUCCCUUUGUCAUCCACUCAAAAAUCUGGGGCUUUAUUUUCUCCGGUUUGCUUGCGAAUCCUUACCAAGUCCUGAUUUGAACCUUGGGCUUCUUGGAUUCUAUCCUCCAAAGUGGGCUGAACACUUAGCUUGCGGCUGGUAUUCUGAGGAAUAAUGUGCACAUUUAACCAAGCCAUUUCCUCUUGCAAACGGGUAUCCUGGGGUCCGAUCUGUCCAUUGGAUUUUCUGCUUAAGGCAUCAGCUACCACAUUAGCCUUACCGGGUUGGUAGUGGAUUUCCAGAUUAUAAUCCUUGACCAACUCUAACCACCUUCUUUGUCUUAAAUUCAGAUCUGGUUGGGUGAAGAUAUACUUUAGACUCUUGUGGUCCGUGUAAAUCUCACACUUGCUCCCAAUUAGAUAGUGCCUCCAAAUCUUGAGAGCAUGCACUACAGCGGCAAAUUCCAAAUCAUGGGUUGGGUAAUUCUUUUCAUGAGGCUUAAGCUGGCGGGAAGCAUAUGCCACUACCUUCCCAUCCUGCAUAAGGACACACCCCAACCCUUGUCGGGAAGCAUCACAAUAAAUGAUGAAGUCCCGCUGAAUGUCCGGUAGGGUUAAUACUGGGGCGGUCUUCAAUCUUUUCUUCAGUUCUUGAAAACUCCUCUCACAUGACUCUGUCCACAUAAACUUCUUAUCCUUCCUAAGUAGUUCCAUCAUGGGCCGAGCUAUCUUAGAGAAUCCUUCAAUAAACCUCCGAUAGUACCCAACUAGACCGAGAAAGCUCCUGAUUUCACUAACAUUGGUGGGUUGCUGCCAGUUGGAGAUGGCUUCAACUUUCUCAGGAUCAACUGCUACUCCUUCUGCGGUCAAAAUAUGACCGAGAAAUGCCACUUUCUCGAGCCAAAAUUCACAUUUGCUGAAUUUAGCAUAGAGUCGGUGGGCUCUCUAUUUUUCUAACACCACCCGUACAUGUUGUUCAUGUUCUUGGACACUCUUGGAGUAAAUAAGUAUGUCGUCAAUAAAGACCACGACAAACUUAUCUAACUCCUCCAUAAACACCUUGUUCAUGAGAUUCAUGAAGUAAGCAGGUGCAUUGGUUAGUUCAAAAGACAUCACUGUGAACUCAAAUUGUCAAUAGCGGGUGACAAAGGCCGUCUUCGGAAUGUCACUUUCCUUAAUCUUGAGCUGAGAUACCCAAACCUCAAAUCUAUCUUGGAGAAAUACUUGGCUCCCUUCAGCUAAUCAAACAAAUCAUCUAUUCUGGGGAGGGGGUAUUUAUUCUUGAUAGUGACUUCGUUCAGUGCGCGAUAAUCCACGGACAUCCUCAUGCUCCCAUCUUUCUUCUUGACAAAGAGCACUGGGGCUCCCCACGGGGAUGAGCUAGAUAUGAUAAAGCCACUCUGUUACAGUUCACCUAACUAUUUCUUUAGCUCUGCCAGCUCAGAUGCUGCCAUUCUAUAGGGUCUCUUGGCUAUAGGGGAGGUCCAGGAAUAAGGUCGAUUACAAACUCUAUAUCCCUGUCCGGGGGUAUUUCAGGUAGUUCUUCAGGAAAGACAUCAGGGUAUUCACUCACUACCGCAACUCCUUCUAUGGCCUUGGCCUCCAGGCUAAAAACCAUUGGGUCGGGUCCACUCCCCCGAGUGUGACAAGUCACUUGCACACCGUCCAGAUUGACCAGGCGUACUACCUUAUCUGCACACCCUAUGUGACCAUCAUGUAGGCUUAACCAAUCCAUUCCAAGGAUCACAUCUAUUCCCUUAGACUCAAGUACUACUAAGUCUGCUAAAAAUUUCACCCCACUUAAAUUGAUCCUUACCUGGGAACAACCUAGUCGACACUGGAUGUUGGCUCCAGGUGUCCGGGUUAAUAGGGGUAAAUUUAGUAGUACUGUAGGUAUGUGGUGCUUAUCCACAAAGCCUGAUGAUAUAAAUGAAUGCGAUGGUCCAGAAUCGAAGAGUAUUGUUGCCAAGACUGAGCUGACUAGAAACUCACCGAGUACCACGCCCUGAGCUUCUCGAGCCUCUUGUGCGCUGAUGUGGUUGACGCGGGCUCGUCCAAAUGACUUCUGGGGCGGCCUCAUCUGCUGGCUAUUGUUGUUGCCAUGGUUGUUGUUGCUACGGACUAGGACACAGUUAGCCCCUGACACUGCUGCCCUCGGCCCAAUUACUGCGUUGGAGAAGGCUGAUGCGGCUGGCUUGUUGGCGUAUGGGCAGUUGGCGAUGAAAUGCCCUGGCUCAUGGCAGUUGAAGCAUGCCCUGCUGUUGUUGGUGACUUGACUGGUACUGUUCUGUGGGGUCUUGAUGGGGUUCUGGCUCCUGAAUGGGGUGUUGGGCUGAUGAGAACCGGAGGCUUGAGACUGGGUCCGGUACUGCAUAGGAGCUUGGGACCUGGGCAGUGGGUGACCAAAGCUCCUCGGUUUCUAGAACCUGUCCUGCUGGUGAGCCUUGCUUUCCAGGAACCGACGCUUGUUGUCCCUCCGCUCAUCUGCUUUGGCUCUCUCAGUCAGGAUGGCCAUGUUCAUCAGAGUGUUGAAGUCGGGUAGAUCUGAGGAGUAAGCAGGGUCCUUAGUUCUGCACUCAAACCUUUCUUGAACAUGUCCUGCUUCUUUUCAUCUUUGUCCACUUCUUCUGGGGCAUAGCGGGCCAGCUCCAUGAACUGAUAGGUGUACUCUUCCACAGACUUGUUGCCUUGGCGCAGUUCACGGAACUCAUCCUCCUUGCGCUUCAUGGUGGCCACAGGAAUGUGAUAGCAGCGGAACUCUGUCACGAACUCAUCCCAGGUGAUAGUGGAGACAUUCUAGGUGGCGGUGCAGUAGUUCUCCCACCAAGCUAGAGCAGUCCCAGUGAGUUGGUGGGCAGCCAGGAGAACCUUGUCCCUACUCUCACAACCAAACAGCUCUAGCUUCCUCUGGAUGACCCGCAACCAGUCAUCUGCGUCCAGAGGGUUGACAGACCCACCAAAAGUGGGUGGCUUGGUCUGGAGGAAGUCCGUCAACUUCUCAUUCAUGCUCUGUCCGUGGGGCCUUUGGCGAGUGAUGGCAUUGGCCAAGGCUUCCAGCAGAAGGGUCUGGUUGUUCAUCACUUGCACCAGAUCAAUGACCAGUGGGCACGGUGGCUGCUGUGCUCCCACUUGGGUUUCUCCCCUGCCCUCGGGCUGAUUUACUUCACUCUUCCUCAUGGUCCACCGCAGGUGGUGGUUCUUGCCCUUCCUGCUACCUUUUUGCACUAGGGGUGGCAUGGGCUUGAAUCGAGGAGGUCCUGGUAGCAUGCUUAGGAGGUAUCUGCAGAUUGAGUGAACUUUCAUGAGACUUGGAUUUGGAUUUUAAAGUGAUGUUUAGUUAAUUAGCUCGGGUUUUUGAAAAGACAGAAUCCACCUCCAGUCGACAAGCACACAGACUAACAAACAACAAACACAAAUGAUUUUAUUAUUUUGCCGGGGCCGUUAUAACACUUGGGGUGAGGCCAAAACACACACUACACGGCCGGUACAACAACACAACUGGGGUACAAUUCUAGACUCGGGACGACUUCUUGGGUACAACUCUAGGUGGGGCAUUCUACUCGCGGGACAAAUCUUCACCCUAAACAGAGUGGUCUUCUGGUGGAAUAAGGAGGGUCAGCACCUCAUCCUUUAGGGUCCCACCUACUAGAGGGGGCUCCGACGCUGCUCCAUUCGCCACCUCAGAGUCUUUUUCUAAAGGAGGCAGUGCUGGUGGGGCAUCAGGGCUCUUCCACUUGCCGGACCCGUGGGCAACAGGGACUCCAUCCAAGAUCGAGGCCUCGUCAUCCUCCACGACCCGCAUCUUCCUUCUUGCGUGGUUCGUGUGAUGGGCCUCCUUCAGUGCCCGAGAGUGCUGAUCCUCGGCCUCCUUGAGGGCCUCAAUGGCGACGGCCUUGUUGCUUUGGGCGGCCGCGGCUCAUGCCUCAGCUGCUACCAACCUCACCUGGAGUCUCGUUACCAUAAGCUCUGUGUCCUCGGCUCCACGAAUCUGCUGCUUCAGAUGUGCGGUCUGCUCAUUGUAGAGCUCAUCCAAGGUGAGAGGGUAGGCAGCCAUGUGGAGCACGGUGGGGUCAUCCUCGCGUUGUCCACGUCCUUCCAAAGUCCUCACCGGGGUCAGCCAAACCGGGCGGUUCUUCUUGACAGGCGGGUAAAACCUCAUCGAUGUGCGGCCGAUGUGCCUCUCAUAGAUCUGGCACAGGUAGCGCAGAGCCUUCCGAGCUGCCACCUGGUAAGUGUCUUUCCGCCAGAAACCAGUGGCAGACACGUUCCAUGGCUGAAUGUCGGGGUAACGACUGCUCCUGCCGACGUAGAUGGUCAUCUCACAUCGGAGGGUCCCACGGUCUUCAUACUCCUGGCUAGUGUACUCCGGGCGCUCAUAAAUCCCGAGGCGGUGCAGGCAGGCGAACAGCAACCUGGGAAAACCGGGCUCCACCAGGCAAUGGUUGUUGACCCACCCCUCUUUUUUCAUCUGGAAAGAAUCGAGGUGUAAAUCAGUUUUGCAAUUGAGUAGAGGAAGCAAGAAAUUUUGUAAAAUCAUUUAUUUUUGGUCAAAAAGGCUUUUUUGAUCCUAAUGGUCACGUCCUACGGCGAACGAUGGCUCUGAUACCACCUGAAGCGUCCCCACAUAAGUAGAGACUAAAUGUGAUACAAAUAUCAGUCCUAUGAGGCUUAUAGCACAUAUAUUCAACAAAUAGUUCAGAAAUCGUACAACUCCCGAGGGAGCGGGCGGGCAAGCCACACCCAAAGUAAGACUAAACCAAUAACGAUACAAAUCCAAGUUGCAGUCCAGUCGGACUCUGGGCUGCAAUCGGAACUAUGCGUCAGCGGAAGCAUCCUGCAAAAGACCAACACCACAGGCAACGUUGGGUGUGGACGCGACCUCCUACUCGGCGACGUAGUCCGGGUCCUCCUCUGAAGCAACAAAACAGGGGUGAGUACGAAAAUACUCAACAAGUCCAACCCCAUCCACGGAGGAGGAUACAAUAGGAGUAUGCACAGGAUACAACAAGGAUGAGGUUAAGGUUCUUUUGCAUAAAGCUAGAUUUUCCACACAUGCAAUUGUUCAUUUUCAAAGAGUUUUUGCAAAGUAUUUUCUUUAGUAAUCAAAACAUUGAGUGAGGUUGAUCCUACACAAAGGAUCCAAGUUUUAUCGCUACCGGACUCCCCGUCCACCAUAGCUCACGGUACAACUGCCGGACACUUCUAAAAUUCAACGCACGCCAUAAAAACCAUCCCUCUCCAAAUGCUAGUUAUUUGACCAAGCCGUAACUCGUACAAUGCCGUGGACCCGGCUACCCGGAUAGGUUUUAACUAUGUAGAGAUUGUACACUUUUCCCCCAAGUAGGGUACCAUAGCACGAUCACCUUAGUGCCGGUGCGGAUCCUAACAAAGCUAUUACCCACCUUAGCCAAGACUGACUAGUCAACACGAAAGCACCCAAGGGGUUAACGACCUACCAUCGAGGUCUUAACCAGGACCUAAGUUACAAAGAGCUUACUCCUUUUCCUUGGGCUCCCGUUGCUCACCAGCUCACUCGAAGACUAACAGUUUAGCUAGUGGGAUUUAUGCUAAGCCGUCGCCCAUACAACGGUCGAGUGGUUGCACGAUGGUUGAAUUAGGAAAGAUGACACAUCAACUUGGUCCUUAACUAUGACAAGAUGGAUAUCUCCCAACCUUGCUCAACCACUAAGGUACGAGCCCAACAUUCUGGCAUUUCACCCAAGAAACACCCAUCCAUCUCAUCUACACAUUUCUUGCCUUUGAACCCGGAAACCCAUCUUCUCAUUUGAAAACACUGACGCAUUUAGUUUCUAAAUAAACCAUUGUAGUUGUGAUUGAAUUUGAGUAACGAGUUCCUAAGCAUUCUAGCAGUAAUUAUCAUCUAAAUAGAGCAAGUCAUAUUUAGAGACAAAUAUAGGACAACAAGGAAUAAUCAUAACAAUCAAGGGGUGGCUAUCCAACCAUGUCUUGCAAUAAAAAUAAUAUGCACUUUUAUAAAACAAGCCGAUAUGUUGUGUUUGAAAAACUAGGAAUAAAUAUGCAUCAAAGGGUGAGAUUGGACUUGCCGUUCUCAAAGCCUUCAGGGGGCUCCUGCUCACGGUACUAGUCCUCGGGCUUGGGCUCGCGGUCGAACUCCUCCUCGGGUACUCCGCGAUCUACGGCACACACAAACGAGCACACAAUAAAUAAAAAGAAAAUAAGAUUUUACCCAUUGAGCUCCGAACAAAGAAUGCGAACGGAAAAUAGGUGGGGUGAGUAUUUUUAUGAAAUUUGGAUAUGCCUCGGCGGAAGUAUAUGGAAGGAGGCCGUGGUCGAAUUUGGGAUCAAUUGGAGGAAGUUUGGUGCAUGAAAUGCCGAUUUAAAGGGGUGUUAGGGCUUAAAACAAGGUUUUAGGACUAAAAUGCGAGAACCGGAGACCUAUUUAUAAUUAUUUUGAAAGGUGGAGGGCGUAUUCACGAAACUUCUCUGAGAGAGGUGGGAGGGCUGGUUUGCAAUUAGAGGAAAGGAGGGGGGUAGAUCGAAAUUGAAGGGGAUUUUUCCCCUUCUUCUUCCUUGGACCGUUACAGGAGAUAGAGGAGGGGGAGGAACUCAGUGGGGGGGCCGACCGGCCGGGCCUCGCCAGCGGCGGGCCGUGUGGUGGGGGAGGUAGAGGGGGACGAGGGGGUUCCAUUUGAGGCGUCACCUCGGGCAGAUGGUGGCCGGAGCUAGGGGGCUAGCAGCGAGCAAGGAGGCAGCAGGUGGAGCUCCUGGUGGCGGUGCGUGGGGCGGCGGGGAAAGGGGGCGGCGAGCACGGGGGCGAGGGUGAGUUGGUGGUGAGGGGGCCUUUUAUAGGCGAUGGGAGGGGGCGGGCGAAGGCCGGAGGCAAUGAAGGUGGCCGGGACUGUCGGCCGGUGGUGUGCCGGAGUGGAUGUGCUCGUGGAUGGCGUGGUGGCUCGGUCGACGAGGAGGCACAGGGAGCGACGGCCGCAUGGGGAGGCGCGCUAGGAGGGGGCGGGCGGAGGCCGAACGACGGGUGGUCCGGCGCGGCUGGCGGCGCGCGGCGUGGCACGCGCGGCCCGGGCGCACGCACAGGCGGGUGCGGCACAGGGCCAAGCGUGCGGGGCCGAGCGGGCGCAGGCGCGCGGGCAGGUGGGCGGCGACAGGCGGAUGACGCUAGGCGGGUGGCGUCGGGCGCCAGGCGCAGGGGGAGUAGUGCCAGGAAGAAAAGAAGGAGAGAGAAGAAAGGAGGAAGGAGGAGAGAAGAAAGAAGGAAGAAAGAGAAAGGAAAAGAAGAAAAAGAAAAAGGGGGAAAAAGGAGAAAGAAAAAGAAAAGGGAGGGGAAAACGGCGAAAGUUGCGGAAUUGACCGGCACGCUUGAUGGAUUUGACGGGCACGCGGCGAAAAUUGCGGGGAACGGAAAAAGAUGAUGUCGCGCUGGGUGACGGGACGGCGGGGUCGCCGGGGAGGAAAAGAUUUCUCGGGAGCUCAACGGUCGGAAAAAUUUUGAAAUAAACUUUUAGCGAGUGAUUUGAGUUGGUAAAUUUUUCGAGCGUUACAUGAAGUGAGUGUCAAAGGACGCUAUGGUGAUAACUUGGAUGGUUUGUAUGUUGGAAAGCUCAAGGCAAAGAUAUAGGGUUUUCUAUUUUACCGGUCAAGAGGUGCUUAGCAGAUGUAAAUUGACCAGAUUAAUAGGCUAGAUAGCCGUACUAUCAAGAGGGGUCAAUUUCAUUUAUUUGAUGGUUCUAUAGUGCCACUUUGCUCAAACAAUUGUAUUGCAUGCAUAUGGACUAACAUAGUUUGAGAAAGUAAAAAAACUGAGAAGAAAAACAUGUUCUAAAAGAGUGCUAACUGAAUAAAGUGGAUGGUCCGGCCCUAUAUGGGCGGAUGGUCAGCCUAACUUAGACAGAAACGUGUGUUCAGGGUUAGAGGCUAUUUUUGUGAGGUGGGCGGUCCAGCCCUAUAUGGGCGGACGGUCCGCCCCCUGUAAUGAUAUAGUCUGAUACGCAUUAAACGCUGAAGUAGCCGUUGGACUUGAACGGUUGGACCGUCCGCACCCUGUAACGGUAUAGUCUGACAUGCAUUAAAUGCUGAAGCAGCCGUUGGACUUGAACGGCGGAUGGUCCAUCCCCUGUGAGGUGGAUGGUCCGCCAGUUGCCUAUUUUCACGAGUUUUGAACCUAACGGCUAGCUUUUGAAAGAGGGCCUAUAUAUACUCCACCCCCGUGCAUGAGUGAGGUCUUUUGGCACUUUGGAAAGCAUUUGUGACAUCCUUAAGCCCUCUUCCACCUCUCACUCAGAUUGCAUUCUUGUGAGAUUGAGAGCAUCCUAGUGCAUUGCAUCAAGAGUUGGAGCUUUGUGGCACUAGGGAGUCUUCAAGCAAGUGUUAUUGACUUAUUACUCUUGGAGGUUGCCGCCUCCUAGACUUCUUGGAGAUUGUGGAGUUGUUGAGCCCUUCAAGAAAUAUUGUGAAGGAGCCCCGGCUAUUCUUUGUGAGAGGUUUGUGCUUAUCUCGCCGGAGCGGUGAAGAGCAAUACUAGUUGAAUCGAGGUUUGAAGAGAUCCUUUGAUUCAAGCUGGCUCAAACAUCAAGCGGUGCCUUGAUAGAGGAGCGGUUGAAGCAUUGAAUCCACCUCAAUGUGGAUUAGGGGUGACUGGCAAGUCAUCGAUACCACGGGAAAAUUUCGUCUCUUGUGUUCGGUUCUUUGUUCGCUCAAUUUCAUUAUUGCAAUUUACUUUGAGCAAUUACAUUCUUAGAGAUUGAAUUAUUCCUUAUCACCCUAGGUUGCAAACCCUCACAUAGUUGUAAAGUAGCUAGAAAUAGUUUUCAUCUUGUGUUACUAAUUAAAUUUAUUUAGUGUUGUGACUUUAGUUUAAACCGCCUAUUCACCCUCCUCUAGUCGGUAUCCUAGAUCCUACAGAAGGAGGUGGGGACAAUGACAGUUUCUUCUUUCAGGUGGGUGUUCAGCUCGCUUAUUUCCAUGGGAGCAACGGCGUGUGACAGCCGCGGCGGCGGAAAGGGUGGCGGCGGCGGAGGUGACGGAGGCGGAGGCGGUAGAGGUGGCGGUGGAGGCAGUGGAGGCGGUGGCGAUGGGGACGACGGUGGUGUUUGAGCACGAUGUCCGGGAGCCCUGCACUCCCUCACACGGUGCCCCGAGCGGUGGCAAUGAAGAUAGCGGACAGGGUCCCGGCAGGAGGCGACACGGUGGACCCUUGCAAGACACCUGAAGCAACGUCCCUCGGUGGCCCGGUGGAAUGCUUGGCGAGCGCCAGUGGUUGGCCUCCUUGAAUCGGCCUCUCCACGGAGCUUUGAAAGCACAUCGCAUCGACCGUCGCGCCGCGGCAAGGUGGCACGCUCGCGCCAAGCCUUGGAGCCACAGCACCGUGCUGGAGUCCACCCAUCAUCCUGCACAAGCUUGCCAUCACGUCGCGGUGGGCUGGCACCUCUACUCUGUGUUGAAUGGCCACAACGUGUGUUGAAUGGCCACGGCGCCGUGCAGGGGGUCCCCUAUCGACUAGCGUGGGCGUGGUACGGCGGAUCCACUCCCUGGGGCACCUCAUCCUUGUCGGAUCGAUAGAGUAAAUGUGCUCCCUUAUGGGGGGGGUGGGGAUUGAAUGCUGUGGGGAGAGGCUGCUGCGUAGGUUGGUGGGGAGGAGUGAAGGCACCGCGCUGGACGACUUCCGCAUAGGAAGGAACUGUAUCAGGCGUUGCAGGGGUGCAGGGGUUGGAUCUGGUGUUGCAAGGACCUAGUCAAUAUCGUCGUGUCAUGGCCGGCCAUGGCGUGGGGACGGUGAAGGUGUGUCAAGGAAGAAGUUUUCCCAGGCGCUUGCGCUCUUCCUUGGGGUGGAGGAAGUCGUCGGGGAGGGGAUCUAGGUAGUGUGGAUCUAAGCGGGUGGGUGGCGGCGGAGGAGGCGAGGGGAGGUGGCCGGAUAUGGAUCCACCGGUGGAUGGCCACGCGGUAGAGGGUAGGAUUGGGAGGUCUAUCUUUUUGAUAAGUGGUUAAUCGAUCACCAGAAGAUCUUCCCAAAACUUCCUAAGAAGAUAUUUUUUUAUUUGAUUUAGCAUUAUUCAACAAGAAAAAAAAUAAAAUUUUUGACAAAUUCUUUUUUUUGAUAAUUAUGCGGCGGACGGACACUAAGAUGGAAUAGGCCCGCUAAUAUGCCUAAUGUACCCGCAACAAUAUGAUGCAAAGCUAUUCCUCCCGGAAUGAGAGGAUCAAAACCUGCUGCACCCCACGCAGGAGAUUGUAAAUUUUGAAACUUUAGUAUUUCUUUUUCUUCCGUACAAGAUAGUUGCCCUAGCAAAAGUGUUAGGCACCCUUCAAAUAAGAAUCCAUUUUCUAACUGGCUUUCGUGCUUUGGUGAGUCGUCCAAGAUCCUUUCGGUGACAUAGUACGAAUUAACCCUUUGUUCUUUUUUUCUUUUUAAGUAUACCCUUCCCCGGGAAAGAACAAUAGGACAAAAGAUAUGGAAUGCAAUAGAAAAUAGGAUAAAAGAUAUGGAAUGCAAUAGAAAAAAGGAUCCUAGCUUUCGUCUCUCAGUGUCAGUGUCGGCCCAGCAGAGUGCUUUCGCCGUUGGUGUUCUUUCCGAUCUCAAUGGACUACUUAACUGGAGGAUUCACUGCAAAUAUUAGCUUGUCUCAUUAUUGCCGCGACAACGGCCUACUUACUCACAUUCACCGAGCAAUGCAUGCAAUUAUUGAUACACAAAAAAAAUCAUGGUAUGCAUUUCCGUGUAUUAGCUAAAGUAGGAAGGACAGGUUGUUCCAGCUAGAUACCGUCAAAAAUUCCUGUGGGGGCAUCUUACUUGACCUGAUCCAUGUCGUGUUACGCGGCUCCUAAGAAAAUUCCCGUAACUCUACCUACGUCGGAUCCCGCUUCCGUUUUCCCCAUCUAUUGAUGGGUUGUUAACGAGUGUUUCCCCCAAAUGGUUUCACCGGUAAUAAAAGGUCAGGUAAUAAAAGGUAAAAAAAACCAAGUUCACCUCACUUUCAAUUUAUUUUUCACUCUGUUUGCAAAACGUGCAAACAGAGAAGUUUCCUUAGUUUAUGAAAAGUAGGUAAAGCGGAACUGUGGAAGUCGGUAAAAACCCUCUCAAAUAGGCUUUUUGGUUCACAUAUCAUAAUCGCAUUUCUUUAUCCUAGUUAUGACUUUGAUAUUUUUCGAGAUUUUAUAGCAUGUUAAUUUAUACUUAUUGCAGAUGGCCUUUCUACGUAAAGGAGAUAUGCAAUAGCCCCUAUGUGAGAUUUUGGUAAUCUUUAUCAAAAUUAAAUCAAUUUCCUUGUAAUUAGUCCAAUAAAGUAUUAUAAAUAUCAGGAUUUCUUUAAAAAAGAACAUAGGAUACCAUGAACCAAUGCUUGAAACUUUGGUCAUAAAACUAACCUAAAAUUUGAGAAUGUCAUGUUCUUUUUUUUUCUGAAACUGAGAAUGUCAAUUCUUAGCGUCAUUACAUUUGAAAAAUCUAAGGUCGGCUUGUCACACGUCAGGCCAACGAAGAGGUUGUUUUCUCCAGCUGCAAUUGGCCCAAGUAACUGCGUACAGGCCCACCAAAUCAACUACAGUUGGGCCGAACCGGUAGCAAAAAUCGAAACGGACAAGUUUCCAAAGAAAAAGGAAACCGUGUGCGUACAACUAACGCGUACGCGUAUGCGUAUGGGUACAGGCCAUAUACAGCUUUCGAUCCCCCGCGUACGGAAUACGCUCUCGCUCCCCUGUCUUUCUCGCCAGAUCAGAUCGGAAAUUCCAAAGCAAGCUUUUCGUCAGCGAUUCGCCGAGACCCAUCCAACGCCGCCGCCAUGUCCGCCGCCGUCGCCGCCCCCGUCCUGCGCGAGGACGACCGGGGGAUCCCACGAUCCCUCCCCCUCCUCGCGGCGCUCGUAGAGGCGGAGUCCCGCCGUUUCGCCGCCGCCGCCUCCCGUCCCGCCGAGACCGGCCUCGUCCGCGCCUUCCGCGGCGGCGCCGCCCCGAAGGUCCCGAUCCGCAUCUUCAUGGAGCGGAUCCACCUGCUGACCCGGUCGGUGCCGACCUCCCGGGGCAUGACCAGGAUCGACGGCACCAGCUUCGUGCUCGCCGGGAUCUACUUGACUCGCUUCAUCCGCAGCCCCGCCGGCAGGGAGGCGGGGAUCCUGGUGGAGCCAGCCACCGCGCACCGCCUGGUUGCCGUCGCGCUCUUCCUUGGCGCCAAGUUCGGCGGCCACCCGCCCAGGAAGUGGAUUGGGGUGUUCCAGGCCAGCUCGGAAGGCGCGAUCCGUGCCGGCGAGAUGGUGGGCCUCGAGGGCCGCUUCCUGCCUGCAAUCGACUUUCGCCUGUUCGUAGAGACCUGGGAGUUCGAUUCCUUCUGCCUUGUGCUGGAGCGGGGGCCUCGGGCACCAAGGGGCGGCAGCGGUAGCGUUGGCUGCGCCAGCAAGAAGAGGCAGGCGGACGCCACGGUCGGAGAGGAUGAGCGCCGCCGCGUCCGAGCUCGCCUGCCGCCACCUGCCGUCUUCUCCAAUUAGGAUUUGUUUUCAAUUUGAAGUUUCGCCUUCAAUUCGCUUAUUAUUUCUUUUAGUUGCUUUUGAUUGUUCGUCUAUCUAUUUUUGCUGCAGGUACAAGGCUAGGAGUAGAAGUGUUCGAGGUGGAGAAGGCGUUGUCCAGUGUCCGAUCAGGGAUCAGCUUCUCCUUGCUGGAGCCUGGAGGAGAGCCUGGUGUAGGAUGCGUCGUCCCGCUUCGGAUCAUGGAUGACCUCCUGCUCGUCGCCAGAGCCUGGAGGGUAGUCAACAGAUCUUAGUUUUAGCCAAGGUUGUUAAAGCGAUUGCUGGCUCACUGAAAGAGUUCUCUAGUACUGGGUUUUCCAGCUUUGGAGUCAAUAAAAAGGGCACAAUAUGGUGUUCUGUACUCUGAAGUUUCAGUGUUUAGUCUGUUUGAGCUACUGCAACUCAGUGAAUGAGUAUACUAUCCUUCAGUUCUGCCAGAUGUUAUCAGUUAAUAGGUCACAUUGCCUUUUGUAUUAUUGCAGUAGAUUAGGCAAUUUACUUGUGAUUAGGAUGUGUUUCUUCAGUGCUCGAUUUUGGUGUGAUUCUUCUCUUCUGUGUAAGACUUUCUCAGAUCAAUAAAAGGGAUAAUAAAGUGUCAGACUUUUGUCAUGAAAUGUCCAAUUUUCACCCUCUGAAGUCUGAUUUUCAACCUAUAACUACAAAAGUGGACAGGGACAACCAUCCAAUCGGCAAAUUUGGCCCUUUGGUGGUUUCGAGGGUGGUUUUCCAUUUUCUAGAAAUUUUAAAAGUUUUGACUUAAUCAAAAAAUUCAUAACUAAUUCAUUUCAAAUCCAAAAAAUAUGAAGUUGGUACAAAAAAUUUCUAAAAUUGUAGGCUAUUUGUCUGUGGGGGGAGAUGUGUCUACUGAUGCAAGAACUAGCGAGGAAACAAAUAAUGAUCCGCUCAAAUAGAAAUAGGAAAAUAGAAAUAGGAAACAGUAUCAGGUAAAGAAUUAGAACAAACGGAAGAACAUAAGCAGCUUUGCAAUGGUCAUUGUAGCCUCUCAGGAUUAAUCCUCCAUGAAGGCAUGAACCAUGACUCAUCGUCUGAUUCCCCUCGAUAUUUGAGCAGUAUAUGCUUACAGAUUCGCACUGCAGUUGUGCAGCAUGUCAGGAUGCCACUUUGAGCAGCAUGUUUGUUCAUCAAAUUUUCAGUCUCCUUUUGAUUUGCAUGUCUGUCUUCAAACGCAUAUUGAGGUAGGGGAUUCUAAAUCUGACAUUCCGACUAUCUGAGAGCACACUCAAGUUAACUACCAGGUCUCCGCCAGCCCAAAUGUGUAGCCUCUGUUUCUAUGUUCCCUCUGACAGUUUAGCUGAAAAUGGAUAGUUAGGAAAAACAUUAUCUUGACGUACUGAAAGGCAACCAUCUACUUUAUUUACAAUGUCCACCCUCUCUGUGACCAUGUUUCCAAUAUGCCUUAACAAUAUCUGGUCCGAAAAAGAAAAGGCAGUGCUAGUGGCAAAAAUUAGGAAGUAUCAUCAUUAAAUAUUUACUGUUCAUAGCACAGGUCCCUGAACUAUAUAUAGUACUAAAUAAAUUAUGACUCUUGUGGCCUUGCCUAUACUAUUCUAGAACAAAGGAGUGUUCUCAAAAUACUUAAAUUUACUUCUAUUUGAGUUUGGCUCCAAUCAUUUUGACUGUAUUUGACAUUAAGAGUUAACUGUGUAUUAAGAGUCCUUUUGAUAUUUCAGGGAAUAAGAUAUUUGCUAAUAUUCUGGACUGUUCAUAUGUCUUUACCAUGUUACCCAGGAAAUGGCUCCAUUUACUUAUAGAUGGCACUUUGAGCAGCAUGUUUGUUCUUCAAAAUCCCAAUGUCUCUCAUUUUGAUUGUCAUUUUUGAAAAGACGCAAUGCGUAAUCAUCACCAUGCCAUGAGCCAUGUAUCUGCUAUGCAGGCGCCUGUUUUCAAACGCAUAUUCAGACAGGGAAUUCUUGUGGAUCAGUAUUUGUAUUUAUGGUGGGGGUACCAGCAAGUUCUCCCUCUCUAAGAAAAUCUGAGAGCACACUCAAGUUAGUGGCCAAGACUCAUAAAAGAUGUAGUCUCUGUUUCUAUGUUUAGUCUGUUUUUUUUUGGGCGAAAGUCUAUGUUUACACUCUGACUUAUGAAAAUGGAUAGUUAGGAAAAAUAUCAUAAAACAUCAUUCUUAUGCACUGAAAGGCAAUCAUCAAUUUUUAUUUACAAUGCCCAUCCUCUCUGUGACCAUGUUUCCAGUAUGCCUUAACAAUAUCUGGCCCAAAAAAGAAACAAUAGUGCUGGCGGCAUAAAUUUGGAGGUAUCUUUUUUCUAUCAAAUCAACAAUCUACUAUUCAAAUCCCGGACUACAUAAGAUUAAAUAAAUUAAUGAUUCUUUCCUAUACUGAUCUAGAGUAAAGAUGUGUUCCCAGAUUAUUUAAAUUUACUUUUUUUAGAAUCCGGGCUAAUCAUUUUGACUGAAUUUGACAUUAAGAGUUGACUGUAUAUUGCCAAGUUGACUUGUGAUAUUGGUUAGCAUUCGAGAUUCUUGUACUAUUUACCACAUAGCUAUUUUUGCUAAAAUUUGCCCCUGGUUGCUUGGCAAUUUAGAUUUCUGGUACUUCUGUGAGGUGGGUAUCAUGCUCAGUCGUGUGGACAGCAUGCAAGAAUCAAGUGUUAAUCUUAGUUCUACCUCUAUCUUGUAGAUGCCAUUUUGACAAUACUGCAAUUUGUUUUCAAUUACAUACUAAAGUGUGUUCACAUCUCAUCUGCAUUUAGUCAAACAAUAAAUACAUUGUACCAAAAGCCUGUAUAUAUCCUAUUUUUCUUGCGAUUAUGGAUAUGAAGCCCUCCUAAUAUCUGCUCAUUUCACAGUUGACAUGAGCAGUAGUUAGGCCUACCAUUGGGAAGGGUAUGGGCAAACCCACUCUUAUUUACGUCCAAAUCCAAAUAAUUAUUAUCCACUCCUUACCCUCCUCAAUCCCACCCAUAUCCAAUGGAUAAUUAACAUUGUACUACAUAUAUAUACAUAUCCAAUUGAUUAAUCAUAUCCGCCCCAUAUCCUACCCUCCCCAUUUGUAAUGAGUAUAUAAUUUUCUACUCGUACCCUCCCCAUUUGAAUUGGGUGUGAAUUUAGGGAGAGAGUAUGAUACCCAGUGGCAGGCCUAACUGUUGUUUGUCCUCCUUCCCUACAAGACCCUUCUUGAGUCUUGACAUUGUUUUUAGUAUCAUUAGUAUUCAGUUUUGACAGUCAAAUCUUUGAGCUAUUAUUACAUCAAAGUUUAAAGAUACAUCCUGUUGGCGCUAGAAAUCGGUCAACCGAAUCCCAACGACCGACACACGACCCGGGAGAAUCUGCUUAGCUCCUGUUCGGGUGAAUGCCCUGGUGCGGUUCACGCGGCGUGCCAGCCAAUCUGACCUGUUGAUUGGCAAGGAAGAAUACGUGUCAGGUUCAGAAUUCUCGAUCGGCUAUGUUCCGAUUUCGAGAGAAUUUAUCAGCGAAUCGGCCGAUUUACUGUAAUACUGAAAUCGGCUAUGAGACAGCCUGAUCUCUGUAGCUUUGUAGACAGGAAACUGCUAAAGUAAUCGGUACAAAACUUAUGAUAACAACACUAGGAACAGAUCUAAUCGGCAAUAAAUGGAUCUAACGAUAGAAGAUAAAGAAAGCCGAUACUACCGAUUCCUAGCUGGAUAACUGGUGAUAAAGACUAGAAAAACAGGUAAAAACCUAUGAAUCUAGCAAAUAUCGAUAACUAGUGAAUAAAUCUAAACGAAACAACAGCGAUACGCCCGAAGUUAAAGCUUAGAUGUUACUCGAUAAGCGGAACUUACAGAAUCGGCUGGAGAUCAAGAUGAUGCAGCCCCGCCAACCCGCACGAACUCGUGAGAAGAGAAAACUAAUGGCGAAGUCGCCUGCUUGAAAAUAAGUACGAAGAAAAAGUAGCUUGUUGUAUUGAUUGGUUGAUGGUUACAGAUUUACAAAGGUAGCUAUUUAUAGCCCCGUACAGAUAUCUCCUUAACCGACUAGAAUUCUAUCCCUAAUUCAAACAGAAAACAAAUAUCUACAAGCAUAAUUCGUGCUAGGUUGGUUACUCCACGCUUCGUGGGCUGAUUUCCCCCUUAUCCUUCUAUUCCUCUCCAAGCCCAUACAUGCCCAAUUAGCCCAUCCUCCUAAUCGGCCGAUUCCUUAUCGGCAAAAGAUUACCGAUUGGGACUCUGGUAUAUUCGACCCAUAGCGAGACAGAGGUCUCCGGCCGAUCUCACACUGUAGCACCAUUUGGCCGAUUCCCAACUGUGCUUCUCCGAUUCCCUUUCUUCUUGGCGCCGAUUCUACUAGUAAUGAAAUCUGGCGUCAACACAUGCCCCCCAGUUUCGGAGUAAAACAUAGUCUUUUACUUCGAAAUUCUUUAUAACUUCCUCUCCGAAACGGCCGCAGAGAAAACAUCCUUCCGUUUCGCGGUCUUCCAGCUGAUCAUUGCAAUUUUUUCGAAACGGGCGCCCACGACAGCCACUACCCCCGAAAAACUCGAAACGCCGGCGCGGUGAAAAUUCCAGUUUUACCCCCCUUUUAGGCAUCCUUUAAAUAGCGCUUCACCCGCACCUCAUCUUCAAGCUCACGUCCUUUUUCCCAGCGCGCGCGACUUCUUCUUCCUUCAGCACCUUUCCCUUGCCGCCAAAGCUUUCUAGUUUCACCUCCUAUUACUCCUCCCUCUUUUCUUCCAAUGGCGGCGCCUUCCGGCAGCUCUCCCGCCCGCGAUGCCCCAGAGAUAGCGCCUCCGGUGGUGGUAGCGACGAUCGUCACCCCUUCCACAGAUGAAGGAGCUUCAUCAGAGAUCCCAAUGGCAAUCCCCAUUGCGGCCCCGUCGUCCGCAUCCGCAUCGGCGACCACACCGAUUACUCAGAACUUCAUCCCAGAGGUAAAUACCGAAUCCUUCUCCUAUCGGCAAUGUAUUUACCUUAGAUCUGUUUCUUAUAUUUCCAUACUCCCUUUCUUUUUUAGGCAGUUAGGCAUAGAAUUACCAUUCACCUCACGGGAAGCCCCGACCUUAUUUGUCUCGGUCCUAUGGGAAACCCAGAUCCAACAGAUCUCAUAAAUUUGGAAACCGACCGGAUACCCUUCAAACGGUCCGACAUGAACCUAGAUCACUGGGUGGGUACUUUUAGAUCCUGGCCGAAUGAAACCCCAGGUUGGAGGGAGUGGUACCAACGGAUGGCUGCAUCAAGGAGCGUCUCAUUGGAAGAGCUCAAAAUCAGCCAGUGCAUCAACCUCUCCUUAUCUCAGAUGGAGAAAAAUGAACCGUUAGUGAUGGCGGCUUCUUAUUUUUGGUCUGAUGCACUUAAUGCAUUCUUAUUUGGGCACGGUCCUAUGACCCCCACACUGGCCGAUGUAGCUCUGUUGACCGGCCUUGACAUAUCCUCCCCAGAUACACCCUUCCACCUUUUAGCCACAACGUCACAUCGGCUGGAUACAAGGGGAAUCGGCGGGUGGAAGGGUUUCAUCAGAAGUAAUAAGAGAACCGGGACCGUUGAGAACAGGGAGCACACGGCUUUCCUGAUGAUGUGGCUAGAAAAACACUUCUUUUGCGGAAGAGCUGCCGGCCCAACAACCAACACCCAAGCUUUAGCUGAAGCACUGUCCAAAGGAAGCCAUAUCCCCCUCGGGAAACAUCUGUUAGGGGCUGUAUACCAUAUGCUCCAUCAAAUCGGCACAAGACUUUCCAAGGGAGAACCGAUCAGUAACCAAGGCGGGCCUUGGUGGUUCGUCAAUCUGUGGCUGAACCUUUAUAUGAGCAGAAUCACCCAGCAGCCGGUGGACCAUAUGACGUUCCCUAACAUCGAAUCGGCAGAGGACCCCACCGAACGUCGCCGAUGCAUGUCUUUUGGCGAAGCGGCGUCAGCUUUUCCAGGUUGCGCGUAUUCUGCUACAAAGGUAGCUGAGUAUUUUCGAUGCUUCUAUAACGGAUUUAAUGAAGCUGCAACCAUUUGGUUUCCGUAUCAGCGAGACGACCCGAUCUUUGAGCUUCCCACUUGCUUCAAUUCGGCUUCCGGCCGAUUUGAUGAAGAUCUCUAUGAAGGGUUGAUCAAACCGGGACUCCUACCGGCCAACUUCUUUUCAGGGAAGGAUGCCCCUACAUACGAAUUCUACAACCCUUCCGUUGCAGCACGACAAUUCGGCAUGGGUCAGUUGCCGAUUCAAGUGUACUUCGCUGGCAGAAUCAAGUUUAGAGAUGAGCUCACAUCUGGCCUGGACUACGGUCGGUUGCGAGACCGAAUUCCGGAUUCCAGUACAAUUAACUUGAACGACUGGCUAGUAGCUCCAUUUGCUGUCCAGCCGUUCAAGCUCUGGUGGGCCGAAUGGAAACAAUUUCUCUUCUGCAACUCAGCAUCGGCAUACUGCAAUCUUCUGGACCCGGCCAACAUUGACCCAAACGCCGAGGUACUUCACAUAACCGAUUUUUAUUCCUUUUUAUUCCUCCUAACAUGAUUGAGUACUAAUGAUUUUAUUAUUUCUUUAGGCCGAGAAUCGGACCCCUCCAACACACAGCCGCAGCGGACGGCUAAUAGAGAGUCAUCCAUACACUACUUAUCCCCUUAUCAGCCAUGACGCCCCGUCUGUUGACGUGAUUGCUGGCCGAUCGAAACAAGUUCAUAAGAGGACCACUAAAAAGACCAGUCGCCGAGUCCGGGCUCGUACGGAAUCGGCGGAUCCUCCUGUGCUCGCAUCGGCAGAAACUUCGACCGCACCACCUUCUCAGGUCUUUCAAGGUGUCGAUACUCAAACCAUCACGCAAGCUGGGGCGGCCGCCGCGUCGUUAUUGUUGGAAGCCAUACAGGUAAACCGGAGUUUUACUGCCUCCGAUUGUUAUGUUGAUAUUAACCCUUUUUUAACCUUAAACUGCACAGAGCAUUCCUACGGAAAUACAACAAUCGGCAGCAGCUCCACCAGCCAUUGAUGCGCCCCCACUCCCAUCCGUUGAGGUAUAGAACUUGUCUUACCGAUUUCCUUUGGGUAUUUACGUAAUGUACUUAUUCAAACCUCUGACACAGGCCAUCGGCACAUCAAUCGCUUCUCGACCGCCGAUUUCUUCUCAGGGGGCUGGUCCAAGCACCGCGCCGAUUAUUGUGGAGUCUUCUUCAUCUGAUGAACCCAUGGCGCGGGCCCCUGAGCAAGGCAUGACGGCUUCACAAGUGCAACAUGAGGAAAUUCGCUUCAAAAUGGUAAGUUUCUGUUUCGGCUUCUACCUAGCCGAUUUGAUCUUACUUCCAGCCGAUUUAUUUCCUUUCUUUAUUAUCUCCAGGAACAGGACACCCCCGACAACAGCCUCUUUUCUUUUGCGGUCGCCCUUUCUGACGACGAAGAGGUUGCUUCUCGCCAAGUCGCCUUGAGUUCCGUUCCUGAUGACGUCCGAGCCAAACUUUCCAGCAUCCGAUCCCUCCUUCAAGGGGACAUCGGCCGACUAGUAGAAGACGCUUCACCGAUUCGGCAGCUCUUCAAUGACGUCAGCGGACGAGUACCAGAAGAGGCGGAGGAGGCCCUGGCGCCGGCGGCCUUCAUCGAGUCCAUGAGGAUCCCAGUCUUCAGAGCCCUUCGUCACAUGGCCGAUCGCGCCAAGCUGACCAAGACUCGCGAAGAGGAAGACGCUUUCAAGCGUCAGGCUCAAGAGGCGCAUCGGCGUAUCCAUGUUCUAGAAGAUUCCCGCCCGGCGAUCAUAGGUGAGAUAGACCGCCUCAAGCGUCGGAGGGCGGAGUUUGCCAAGGAAAUGGAGCAAGUGACCAAGGCAAUCAGUGCCGAAGAGAACAAACUCCAAGAGCUACCCUCUGUUAUUGCCGAUUUGACACGGGAGAGGCAGCGCUUUGCUCAUGAGGCCCUGAGACUCCAUCGCAGCGCAUCGGAGGUCCCUGGAUCGGCGGAAGAAGACCAACGGAUUCUUGACUCUGCCGAUCAGAUCCGGCGUCGGGCCAUCACGGCUAUCGAUACCCUUCUGGGUAACCUGUAAAACACUGACCGUUUUGCACGAACAUUUACUAGCUUCUUUGACCGUUUCUCGCGACCCCCUUUCUAUUUAUUGCCUUUCUUAUUACCGAUGGGACGUGGCCUUACCAAAUUUCCACGCAUCUUUUUCCAUAAAUACCGACCUCAGCGUUUACCCCUGAUAGUACCAAUUUGGCCUUCGGCUUACUCUCCUCUUCUUUUCAUCGGUGCGAUUCCUUGUCAUGGCUUCGCCGGUUUCUUCUUCUUUUGUCAACCAGGUGAAAUCUUGGCCUCGACUCCCUUUCUUUUUAGAUCUUAGGAAGGGAACUCCUUCUUACUCCUUUUUGUUUUAGCCUCAACGUCUUAGUCCUGAGCUCGUGCGCGCCAUUGAGCUUAUCCAUUCUGAGGACCCACUGACGCCGGAGGACCAAAAGCUGAUCAUGGCUCAUCGUGAGGAGCUUCGAGAUCACGUCACCGCGGAGGCUCGUGUAGUCCUGGACUUUGUGGAGAGCAACGGUCGCCGGCGACCUCCAAUCGACAGGAGUCAUCCGCUUCCUCCGCGAGUCGUCCUUGAGGACACGGCAGCAGGAACUUCGCGCCCGGCCAUGGAUCGGAGCCACCCUCUCCCGCGUCAAGUUGAAGCGGAGGCUUCAAUGAAAGAAAUAGAAGAAGAAUACCUCCGUCUCAUGAUAGAAUUAGGUCGGACUGAGAGGGAGCACAAGAAGAAGAAUAAUUAGUCAUUGUAUUUUUGUAUUUUUUGUUCUCAGGGCGACUAACGUUUUGUCGGCCAUGUAACCCGUCGCCCGUACCGAAUGAAUGCAAUCGGUCGAUCCGGUCGACUAUGUUUUUGAAUCGAUUUGCGUCGGUUACAUGUUUGAACCGACUCGUAUCGGCUAAGUGUUCGAACCGAUUUGUAUCGGCUAUGUGUAGUUGUGUCGUGGUUAAUUCCUACGCCCCGACCCAUAUACUGGGGUAAUAUCUCUUUAAGUACCUUCCGUUCAGAGCUCUAGUAAAUUCCUCUCCUUCUAUCGUUUCCAAAAUGUAAGCAUUUCCUGGAGCGCAUCUGCCGAUUUUAUACGGCCCUUCCCAGGUAGGGGACCAUUUCCCGAAUUUAGGAUCUUUCGACCCGAUCGGCAACACUAACUUCCAUACCAAGUCUCCGGGGAAGAACUGUUUGACUUUGACUUUCUUAUCGUACCACCUGGCUACUCUCUUUUUAUUUUCUUCAAUGCUUAUCAGGGCCCUCAAUCGUUGGCUAGCCAAAUCGUCAAGUUCCCUUUUCAUGAGUGAUGAGUAGUCAUCGGCAGAUAACUGGUCCUGGAGCGAAAUACGCCUCGAUCCUGCCCUUGAUUCCCAUGGUAGUACUGCAUCGUGGCCGUACACCAACUGGUAGGGAGACAGUUUGGUAGCCCCAUGACCAGCCAUCCUGUAUGCGCACAGUGCCUCAGUCAAACACAGAUGCCACUUCUUUGGCUGUUCUUCAAUUUUUCUUUUGAUCAAUUUGAUUAUCCCUUUAUUGGAGGAUUCUGCCUGACCAUUGGCUUGGGCGUAAUACGGAGAAGAAUUUAACAAUUUGAUUCCCAUAUCGGUUGUAAAUUCCUCGAACUCCCCCGAUGUGAACAUUGUUCCCUGAUCGGUCGUAAUAGUCUGGGGAAUACCGAAUCGGUAGACGAUGUGGUCCCUUACGAAAUCGGCCAUGAUAGCCGAUGUUACGGCUCUUAACGGGAUUGCCUCGACCCAUUUGGUAAAGUAAUCGGUGGCCACCAGAAUAAAUUUGUGCCCUUUGCUUGAUGGUGGGUAAAUUUGGCCGAUAAGAUCUAUUCCCCAUCCCCUGAACGGCCAUGGUUUAAUGAUGGGAUUCAUGGCCGAUGCGGGUGCCCGCUGGACAUUUCCAAACUUUUGACAUUCCUGACAACCCUUAUAAUAUUUGAAACAGUCUUCGAGGAUCGUAGGCCAAUAGUACCCGUUGUUCCUGAUCAUCCAUUUCAUCUUGUGUGCCGAUUGGUGUGCUCCACAUACCCCUUCAUGGAUUUCUCCCAUUAGAGUCUUGGCCUCUUCUGUCCCAAGGCAUUUAAGAAGGACCCCGUCGAUCGUUCGGUAAAACAGAUCAUCUUCGAGUAAUACGUAUUUGGUGGCAUGAAAGCGUACUCGUCGCUCCACCUUCUUAGACGGAUCCUUUAUGUAAUCGGCAAUUUCUUUACGCCAAUCGUCGGCUGCGAGUUCUAAAGCCAUAGCGCCCAGAAUCGGCUGAUACCCAGAUGCGUGCUGGGCGAGCCUGUUUGCUUCUUCGUUGCGGUCCCUUGGGACAUGCCCGAUUACUGCCGAUCUGAAUUCUUUUAAAAGCUGUAUGCAAUCUUUGUGAUAAAUCCUUAACACGUCAUCUUUGCACUCAGCCCUUCCGGUCAAUUGAUCCACAAUAAGCAUAGAAUCUCCGAAGAUUUCGACGGAAUCGGCCUUGACUUCUCUCAAUAAUUGUAUCCCUUUUAAUACAGCUCUGUACUCCGCUUGAUUAUUUGUAGCGGCGGUUUCAAUCGGCAGAGAAAAAUCAUAGCUUGCCCCCCGAGGCGAUAUGAGAACGAUGCCGAUUCCUGAUCCGACCCCGCAUGACGACCCGUCGAAAAAUAAUCGCAAAGGCGCCAGCUCUACGAGGGCGAUCUCCGGUCCACAGUGCUGGGCGACGAAAUCGGCCAUGACUUGACCCUUGACGGCUUUUGCUGAUUCGUACCGCAGGUCAAAUUCCGAUAAAGCUAAGAUCCAUUUACCGAUUCGUCCUUUUAGUAUCGGCAGUGAUAGCAUGUAUUUUACUACGUCGUCCUUGCAUACGACUACACAUUCUGCCGACAGUAGAUAGUGCCUGAGUUUAGUGCAUGAGAAGUAAAGACAUAAGCACAAACGUUCCACCGGGGGAUAUCUUGUUUCAGCGUCCAGGAGUCUUCUACUGACGUAAUAAAUUACCCGCUCUUUGCCUUCAAACUCUUGGACCAGAGCCGACCCAAUAGCUUUUCCAUCGGCUGAUAAAUACAGUUUAAACGGCUUACCAGCUUGAGGGGGAACCAAGACUGGCGGUGAGACCAAGUAUUGCUUGAUAUCUUCUAACGCCUUGCGCUGUUCUUCUCCCCAUAUAAAUUCCUGGUCUGGCUUCAACUUCAGAAGUGGCGUGAACGCUUGAAUCCGUCUGGAUAGAUUAGAUAUAAAUCUUCUGAUGAAGUUUACCUUGCCGAUUAGAGACUGUAGCUCAGUUUUGUUCUGUGGGGCCACGACUUUGUUGAUGGCCGCUAUGGUCUUCUGAUUGAUUUCUAUACCUCGUUCGUGCACCAUGAAUCCUAAGAACUGUCCGGCGGAGACGCCGAAAGCGCAUUUGUUGGGAUUCAUCUUAAGACCGUGCUUUUUGGUACACUCUAGCACCCUUCGCAAAUCGGCUAGAUGUUCCUCGUGGCUUUUGGACUUGACCACGACAUCAUCGAUGUAGAUUUCUACCAGGAGGCCAAUGAGUUUGUGAAAAAUGUAAUUCAUAGCUCUCUGAUAUGUAGCGCCAGCAUUCUUCAAGCCGAAAGUCAUCACUACCUAUUCGAAUAAACCAAGAUGGCCUAGACAUCUGAAGGCCGUUUUGGGUAUAUCCUCUUCGGCCAUAAGUAUUUGAUUGUAUCCGGCGUUUCCGUCCAUGAAGCUAAUAAUUUUAUGUCCCGCGGCGGCGUCGAUCAGUACAUCGGCCGUAGGCAUGGGAUAGCCAUCCAUCGGUGUGGCCUGAUUAAGAUUCCUGAAAUCAACGCAAACGCGUAACUUCCCAUUUUUCUUGUAUACCGGCACGAUAUUGGAAAUCCACUCGGCAUAACGACAUUGCCGAAUAAAUUUUGCUUCGAUUAGCCGAGUUAUUUCAGCUUUUAUGUCUGGUAAAAUUUUAGGAUUGCAACGCCGUGCGGGUUGUUGGUACGGCCGAUACCCCGGUUUUAUGGGUAGCCGGUGCUCAACAAUAGAUCGGUCUAAACCAGGCAUCUCGUGAUACUCCCAAGCAAAACAAUCCUUGAAUUCCCUUAACAAAUUUGUUAGUUUACAUUUGUACUCUGGAUCUAAAUUUGCACUAAUAAAAGUCGGCCUUGGUUUGGCUCCAUCACCUAAGUCUAUCAUUUCUAAUGAAUCGGCCGACGUGAAUCCGUGCCCUAGCUUCCCGUCUUCUCGGGCGAACUGAUCCAUCUAAUCUGAGUCUUCGGAGCCGACUGCUCGGAUCGGCUGUAGGCCAAAAUCGGUGACCUUCAGGAAAUCGGUCUCCCACACCCUACCUGAUAUGCACCUGACGGUUUCGCAGCUCCACUACUGCGUGUCGGCUGCUGCAAUGCUAUACGCGGAGUCGGCUUUGACCACCUCGAUGUUAUCACCGACCCAUUGUACGAGGCACUGAUGCAUAGUUGACGGGAUGCAGCAGUUUGCGUGUAUCCAGUCUCGGCCAAGAAGCAUAUUGUAGGAUCCCUUGCCAUUAAUAACGAAAAACGUGGUAGGGAGGGUCUUACUGCCGAUGGUGAGGUCGACGCAGAGAGCACCGCGAGCGUUUGACACCUUGCCUUCGAAAUCCUUGAGCAUCAUGUCCGUCUUGGUCAGGUCGUCAUCGUUUUUCCCCAGCUUCCGGAGUACGGCGUACGGCAUAAUGUUGACAGCAGCUCCUCCGUCGACCAUCAAUCUGGUGAGGGGGCGACCGUCAACAUGCCCUUUAAGGAACAAUGCCUUCAUAUGUUGUCGUUCGUCGUCUUCGGGCUUUUCGAACGUGGCCAUCAUUGGCUCCAAAGCCAACCGCGCUGUCUGUUCUUCUAUCGCUGAUACGUCCUGUUGAUCGGCGGGGGUCAUGAACUCCAUCGGCAGUAUGAAAACCAUGCCGAUCUCGGCUGCCGAUUCAUCACCCGCCGACUCGUUGUUUCCCUUAUCGUUUCUUUUGGGGCGCCACACCCGAGGCCUCCCUUCCUUCUUGUCCGUCGCGCUUUCUUCUUCUUGCUGUUCCCAUUGGCGGAGACGUUGGAUUCUCCGUUUUUGUGACUUGGUCAAUCCGUCGGGGCACCACCUGGGGUUUAUUAGUCUCCCUUCUGUCCUGGCGCGUUCCCACUCCGGUUCGCGUCCUAACGGAUUUUCAUCCGUCACCCGAGCGUCGGCCAUUUCUUCGAGUCGGCUGUGAACGCUAGCCUUACUAUCUGACUGGUCCCGCCGAUCAGUCCUGCCCCCCUGCCUAUCAUGGCGUCUUUCUUCCGACCGAUUAUAUUGGUCACUUCUGCCCCCCAGCCGAUCACGCACGGGAGGGCGCUGGUCAUCUUGAUCGCGCCAAUCCCUGCUGAUCGGCUCUGGCCUUCCGUCCCUAGAGCGAGACCUGUUGAACGGCCGAUUGCCGCGAUAGGGACCGUUGCAUUCUGGGCAAGUGUCGGCCGAAGGUAGCCUGAGGUUAUUUUCCCAACAAUGAAUGAAAAAUGGGCAUCUCUAGUGCUCUUCGUGCCAACGCAUCGCUUCUUCUCGGGACCUUGAGCGUUCAUGCUGACGUUGGUACUUUUGGAGCAGGAACUGAGAAGUAAUGCGCGGCCCUUCUGACUCACCAUCAUCGUCCUCUAUCCGCCGCUUUCCCUUGAUAUCUUCGGACGUAGCUUGAUUUCUGGGAUCAACGGCACUACUCUUUUUGGCCGAUUCGGACGUUAGCACUUUUGUUUGGAGUGAAUUCUUCCCCGUAUCAACCAUGUUGGUAGGAAAGGGGUGCUGGUCGAUCUUCAUUGGUUUGGCCGAUUUUGCCGGCACUUCAAAUUUGAUUCUGCCUUGCUCAAUGGCUGACUGUAUCUGUUGCCUGAAGAUCUUGCACUCGUUGGUAUCAUGUGAUGUGGCAUUGUGCCACUUGCAAUACUUCAUCUUCUUUAAUUGUUCGGCAGAAGGUAUUGUAUGAUAAGGAGAGAAUUUAAUCUGUCCUUCCUGGAGGAGAAGAUCGAAGAUUUUAUCGGCCUUAGUUGUAUCAAAACCGAAUGCUUCUGGCUCCUUUUUGCCGAAUGGGCAUGAUAUCGGCUUCUUCCCCUUGAUCCAUUCCGCAAGUCCGACUUCAACAUCUUCUUCAUCCUCUAAUUCUUCCAGGAAUGCCACUUUCUUCUGGAAAUUCCUCCGCGGAUCGAAUGGACGCACCUCCUGUCCGGACAAUCGGUGAACAAUCUGGCUCAGGCUCUCGAACUCCUGUGAAGCAUAUUUUUCUUUAAUAUGUGGCAGAAGGCCUUGGAAAGCUAUAUCGGCCAAUUGCGCAUCGGUUAGAGCCAGGGAGUAGCACUUGUUUCUGAUUUCCCGAAACCUCUGUAUAUACGAGGGUAUCGGCUCAUCACUUCUUUGCCGGAGGCUAGUCAAAUCGGACAGCUUCAUCUCAUGGACCCCAGCAUAGAAGUACUUGUGGAACUGUCUUUCUAAAUCGGCCCAUGUGAUAAUCGAGUUUGGUGGCAAAGUCGUGAACCAUUGGAAGGCCGAUCCAGACAGAGAUGACGAGAACAACCGUACUCGUAGGGCAUCUUGCGUAGCUGCUUCUCUGCAUUGGAUGAUGAAUCUAUUCACGUGCUCCACGGUCGAAGUAUCAUCCAUCCCCGAAAAUUUGGUAAAAUCAGGAACUUUGUACCGAUGGGGGAACGGCAACAAAUCAUAUGUAGAUGGGUAUGGUGUUCUAUAAGUAUAAGUUUGCACUUUCGGCUUCAAGCUGAAUUGUUCUUGCAUCACCUCCGCAAUUCGUGCCGACCAAUCUGGUUGUUGCUGGUGAACUGUUGGCUGAGGUAUCGGCACGUGCUGGUAAAUUGGAGGCUGAAUAAAAGGCGAUUGAUGAAAGGGUGGCAUCUGAGUGUAAUCCGGCUGUGUAGUAAAGGACGGCUGUUUGAAUGAACCACUCGUUUCAUCACAUAGUAUGAGUGCUGCUGUCUUGUUGACCUCCGGAGCGACAGGCUGGUAUGGUGGUAUGAUCGGCCGAAUGGCCGCCUGGGAGGAUGCCUGGAACGGAGGGUUUCCUUGACUGGCCGAUUGAUUCAGAUCGGCCGUGGCUGAAGGUGCCCCCCAAGGUGAUGGGUUGACUGGAGGGAACGGUGCAGAGGACAGCUGGAUGGAGCCAUAUCCCAACGGAGUUGAUGAUGCAGAUGCGCCUGAACUCCCAACAGAAAAUUGAAUCGGCUGUGAAGCCGAAUACGGAUAAGUCUGAUUUGGUGGGACCGGCUGGAAAUAUGUAGGUCCUCUGUAUCCUUGAGGUAUGCCCCCGGCGAAGGAGUUAACAACGGCGUUGUGCACCAUGUUCGAGAGUACCGGGGAUUGGUUGAUGAAGGCGUGAUGAAUAGAUUGUUGAAUCAUAUCGGACAUUUUAUCCGAAUCUUCAGAAAUCGUGAUCUGGCGGGGAGCAGGGAAUGGGGUCUUCUUGACGGUCUCCCCGCUUCUGGAGCGACUGAAAGACUUCAGACAAGUUUUCCGGAACUGUGCCAUAUACUUGUCCAGAUCUUCCUUCUGGUCGUCCUUCAGAUCCGCUUCCGUCACCUCGAUGACGUUAUCUUCGGAGAUUUCAGCAGCUUUCGACAUGACGGCGGUUGUAUUGAUCCCACCAGGCGUGCCAAAAGUGUGUUGGCGCUAGAAAUUGGUCAACCGAAUCCCAACGACCGACACACGACCCGGGAGAAUCUGCUUAGCUCCUGUUCGGGUGAAUGCCCUGGUGCGGUUCAUGCGGCGUGCCAGCCAAUCUGACCUGUUGAUUGGCAAGGAAGAAUACGUGUCAGGUUCAGAAUUCUCGAUCGGCUAUGUUCCGAUUUCGAGAGAAUUUAUCAGCGAAUCGGCCGAUUUACUGUAAUACUGAAAUCGGCUAUGAGACAGCCUGAUCUCUGUAGCUUUGUAGACAGGAAACUGCUAAAGUAAUCGGUACAAAACUUAUGAUAACAACACAAGGAACAGAUCUAAUCGGCAAUAAAUGGAUCUAACGAUAGAAGAUAAAGAAAGCCGAUACUACCGAUUCCUAGCUGGAUAACUGGUGAUAAAGACUAGAAAAACAGGUAAAAACCUAGAAUCUAGCAAAUAUCGAUAACUAGUGAAUAAAUCUAAACGAAACAACAGCGAUACGCCCGAAGUUAAAGCUUAGAUGUUACUCGAUAAGCGGAACUUACAGAAUCGGCUGGAGAUCAAGAUGAUGCAGCCCCGCCAACCCGCACGAACUCGAUAAUGGCGAAGUCGCCUGCUUGAAAAUAAGUAUGAAGAAAAAGUAGCUUGUUGUAUUGAUUGGUUGAUGAUUACAGAUUUACAAAGGUAGCUAUUUAUAGCCCCGUACAGAUAUCUCCUUAACCGACUAGAAUUCUAUCCCUAAUUCAAACAGAAAACGAAUAUCUACAAGCAUAAUUCGUGCUAGGUUGGUUACUCCACGCUUCGUGGGCUGAUUUCCCCCUUAUCCUUCUAUUCCUCUCCAAGCCCAUACAGGCCCAAUUAGCCCAUCCUCCUAAUCGGCCGAUUCCUUAUCGGCAAAAGAUUACCGAUUGGGACUCUGGUAUAUUCGACCCAUAGCGAGACAGAGGUCUCCAGCCGAUCUCACACUGUAGCACCAUUUGGCCGAUUCCCAACUGUGCUUCUCCGAUUCCCUUUCUUCUUGGCGCCGAUUCUACUAGUAACGAAAUCUGGCGUCAACACAUCCUAAAGCUAGUUCCAAGUUCAUAAGCUAAUGACAGGCGAUUCUUUUAAACAGAAAGGCAUCAUAGUGUCUCUUCAUCCGUUAGUUGUUACUAUUUUGUUUUUUAUGCCAUGUACAACUCGACCUUGAAUUGAACUGAAUAGCCUAGUAGUUCAAAUUGACUUGUUUAGUGGAAGUGCUGAUGACUUCUGUUGAACAGUGUACUUGCACACUAUAGGUGACGCCGUGACGGUGACUUCUAUUUAACAAUGCUUGACAGAACUUCAUUUCCACAUUAAUCGAAGAAGUCCAGUUUUAACCUAUAAAUUCACGUCGCCGUCGAUGUCGAAGGUGAAAGCAUCUAAGCUCCUAACUUGUGUUUUGGUAAUUAAUGACGGUCUUAGUGGAUUAACAAUUUCUUCUUUUCUUUGAGAAUAUGGGCUUGUUUGGUUUGGGUUGCUUAUUAUAAGCAACUUAAAGUUGCUUAAAGUUACUUAUUGUAGUUGCUUAUUUUUAGCUCUAGGUGUUUGGUUUGGGUUGCUUAUCUGCAUUAAAUAAGGUUGCUAUUGACAUAUUUGCCCCUAAUAAAUACAUGCCAUCCCAUUUCAAUUAUACCCCUAAUAAUUACCCUGGCCCUUGGCACCAGAUGAAGUUGGUGCCAAUUCCAGGAGCUGUCUGGCCCUUGGCGCCAGAUGCAGUUGGCGCCAAUUCCAGUAUGUUGGCUGCCACGGUGCUGGGAGCCAAAUUUUUUAUUCAAAUCAAAUGUUGUUCAACAUUCUACAAAUAACAUCAUUACAAAACAAUAAAGCUGCGAUCUAUUGAACAGUCCAUCGGCAAUCCAAUCCCUAAAUUGGUUCAUGUCCUGAUCUUCGUCCCCGUGUUGACUAGUAUCCGCAUUGUUUUGUGACGACAAUGCGUCCGAAGGCGCCACAUAGCAUUCAUCAUGAUCCACCCUCUCAAAGUCCACAUCAGCAAGUGCACUCUCUCUAAUGAAGUUAUGAAUUGCCAUGCAAGCGAUAAUUAUGUUGCUUUGCUUUGCCAUUGGAUAUGCCGGUAAAUCACGCAAAAUACGCCAUUUUUUUUUUGAAAACUCCAAAAGACCUCUCAAUCACAUUCCUUAGUGAUGAAUGGGCAUAAUUGAAAAGCUCUUUUUUACCUCUUGGGAGUGGUCCUUGUCGAAACUCUGGGAUAUGAUAUUCCGUACCCUUGUAUGGUGAAAAAUAACCCGGUCUGUUUGGGUACCCAGAGUCCACCAGGAUAAAUUUUCCUGCACAAUCAUUUAUUUUCGUGUUAUAUUCAACCAAUGGAUAGCUAUUGUUACAAGUAUUGGAUCAUAGAAUAGGGAAGCACCUUCAGGCGGAUGAGGAAACUUGUCGCUGUACUUGAUCAAUGCAUCUUUGAAGACUCUCAUGUCAUGCACCGACCCAGGCUAUCCCGCAACAACAAAAGUAAAUCUCAUGUCGAAAUCACAUGUUGCUAAUACAUUCUGGCUGGUGUACCCAUGUCGUCCCAUAUGUUGGACAACCUUGUCCACUGGCACAACAACAGGCACAUGUGUUCCAUCUAUUGCUCCAAUGCAAUUAUCAAAGUAGGGGGAGAACCGUGGUGAUUGCAGUCUAUGAUGCACGGUACUAAAUGUUGGGUCCAAUGGUCUAAUGAUAUCACCUGCUAGCUUGCAAACACUACGCAAUACUUUCUCAAACUUUCUACUGCAUGUUUCAGUUGACCUAACAAAACGAUCCUCAGCUUGCCUCAUGCUUUGAGGGGCACCACAAAUCCACACAAACAUAGCUAAAGACUCUACUGAUGUCAUCCUCCUUGUUGACUUUAACCCAUAAGAUUGGACUAGGAUAUUGUGUAGCCUAUCAAACACAUCCCUACUCAUCCUGAACAUGUUGUAGCAAGAUGUCCUAUUUCCUAAUGUAGUUGUUGACACUGGAUUUUGACCAAUCCUAUAAAUUCGGAGUACAAGAUAAUUGGAGUCACGUACAACAAUAAGAAGCUAGCAUGCGUGUAUAUGGGCACGGAGUCCAAAUCGGCUUCUUUGGAUUGAUCGGCAAGGAGAGGCAAGGAUGAUAUAAAGGAAUGGCCAGCACGUAUGGAUAAAAAUGAUUAGAAUAUACAACAUGGAUUCUGGUGCACUUUGCAUGCCAUGCGUGGGAGGCUUCCAGAAUAAUUAUGCAUGCGGCCGAUCUGUGCAUGUACGGGAGGUUGUUUCAUAGAAUACAAUAUUUUAGAGAUAGAGUUGGGUUAGUUAGAGAUAGAGUUUUUUAUUAGAAAAGAUUGUGUACGUGACUUGCCUUGUGCGUGGUUAGAUGCCAAUUAUGUAACGUCCGCCCUAUAAAUAUAAAGGGACGUGGCCAUUGUAAAGAAUAAUCACACGAUCAAUAUACAACAUAUUUAUCUUCUAUUUACCUUUUCGGCUUCACGCCAUUGCAUUAGGAGUAGGAGUAAUGUAGCUUCUCGACGAGUUCCUCCUAGCAAGCUGGGCUGCAUCGACCUCGAUCUCCGGCGAGCUGCAAGUUCCGUCACCAGGUGUUCUAGGCUUUAACCACCGGGCGCAUCGCUGUGGUUUCGUCUAGUUUCAUCUACCAAUUAUCGAGUAUCUUGGAUCUUUGACCACCGGGCGCAUCGCUUCUGUCUCGAUCUACGGUAUUCACCAGUUAUCCCGCCUUGAUUAAGCUUGCAUCGGCUGAUAUUUAUCUGUUCUAUCGUCUUGCCGUUUACGACAUAUUAAUUAUUAUCAAUUCUGUCGGAAUAGACGAUAGAUCUAUUUUUAAUAGCCUGUUGCAUCUUGAUCUUGGCCAUCCUUCGAGUGUUGUUGGGAGUAAGUUCCGUUGUGAUUGGAUCAUCGGCUAGCGGGGUUCAGAUUAAUGUCCUGCUAAAUAUUUCUAGACUGCAACUACCGGGCGCAUCGCUGUGGUUUCACCUAGAGAUAUUGGUGGUAACGUUAGUUUAGAUCUCAUCGGCUUAUGGCUCUAGCUAUGGCGGGGCAACAACUCAACAGCAUCCUGUUUUCUAUCGGCCGUCUGGCCGAUAUUUAUUGUAAAUUAUAUUAAAUCGGCUGGAUGGCCGAUGAAUCACUCACAUUCAUCAAGGUACUGGAAUCGGCUUCACAGCCGAUAUAUUUGUCAUGAUUUAUUUUGUUGCACCAUUAUCGCUACUGUGCUAAGAUUAUAUCGGCCUGAUCGGCCGGUUGCCUCGGACUUCACAAUAACUAUCAUCUCCUUGUCAGUUGAAUGGUCAAACUGACUGGCACGCCCGCGCACACCACGCGCGCUGAUUUGGAUUCUGCACUGGAGUUAAGCAGAUCUCCCAGGUCCUCAUGUGCAGAUGCAGGGUCCACCACCGCCAGGAUUUUGCGUCAACACAUUUUGGCACGCCCAGUGGGACACGAUUAUAAGACUCAGAUGUUUAUUCAGAUAAAAUGAGUAUAUUCGACAGCUGUAUCGAGUUCAUCGGCCGAUUGAAGAGAAGCAUCGGCGGAUUGGUUAAAAAAAUAUACAGAGGCCGAUUGUAGAGAAAGGCAUCGGCCGGUUAGCAUCAGCCAGUUGGAAUUGGAAGAAAAAAAGUGGCAUCGGCCGAUGGAACAUUGGUAUUGCCGAUUGAAAAAAAAAAAUAGAGAGAGCGUGGCAUCGGCCGAUGGAAAAUUGGUUCAGCCGAUUGAAAAAAGAAAGAAAGAAAGAAAAAGAGAGGGGCACCGGCCAUUCGUGCGUCUCCUUAUUGAUAAAAAAAUCGGCCGAUUGAAAAUUGGAUCGGCCGAUCAAAAGUUGUAUCGGCUGAUUAAAAUAUAUGUAUAUAUACAUCGACCGAUUGAAAUAAGGAAAGUAUCGGCUGACUGGUUCAAAAGAUGCAUUGGCCGAUUGAGAUAAGGGAAGCAUCGGCUAAUUAAAUACAUCGGCGAUUGGGAUAUAUAAAAAGAAAAGGGUAUCGGCUAAUUGAAAAAGUGCAUCUGCCGAUUUAGAUAAAAAGGGGAGUUGAAUCGGCUGCUCAAGCAUCGGCUGCCUAUUUAAUAUUCUCCCACAGCUGAUGGGAGAGAUGGAAGAUUUUUCAGCCGAUGAAUGAUUAGGCAGUGAAGAUGAAGUUUUUGCAAGGUACAUACCUCUUCAAGGCUCAAAAUAAUCCUUCGUUGCCUGGACUAUCAACGUGUAGACUAGUGGCCAAAGUAUUCUCAGGACAGCCCAUGGAGUGAAUCGGCUUUAAAAAAAUAAUCCUUCGUUGCCUGGACUAUCAACGUGUAGACUAGUGGCCAAAGUAUUCUCAGGACAGCCCAUGGAGUGAAUCGGCUUAAAAAAAAAAAGGCUGACUUGAAUAGCCGAUGGAAUGGCCGAUGCAGAAGUCUCGCCUGACGACCGACGGAAAUAGUAAUUUACAUGCUGAUUACGUGAUGGCUCUAGAAAAAAGUAUCGGCUGAUAUAAAAGUAUCGGCCGCUAACUACAAAGAGUAUCGGCUGAAAAAAGCAUCGGCCGAUUAGAAAAUUGGAUCGGCCGAUUGAAAGCUGUAUCGGCUGAUUAAAAAAAAACUGCAUCGGCCGAUUGGAAAUUGCAUCAACCGAUUGAAAGUUGUACGGCUAAUUAAAAAAAAUGCAUCGGACACCGGCCGAUUGACUGCUUGGCAAAAAGCAUCAGCUGAUUGCUUCGGCCGAUUGAUUGCUUGGCCAAUAAAAAAAAUUUGGCUGAUUGGAUCAAGCAAAAUAGUAUCGGCUGCUUAUAAAAUCUAUUGGAUAUUAAUUUCGAAGCAUGAAAUAUUCAUACUUUGAAACUGGGGGGCCUGUGUUGACAACAAAAGCUUGCUGGUUACUGCACCAAGUUUUGGUGUCAACAGACUGAUCUGUUGUUUCUACUGCCGGCAAUGCCGAUGGUGUUCUUUAUAUUUGAAGAAGAGUCGACGUGGCUUUGGAUAUUGCAAUCAGACGUCAUUAGCUCGGAAGACAAGUAUCAGACUUCUAUAAUUAGUUUUGGAACAUGAAGCAUUCAUACUCCGAAACUGGGGGGCCUGUGUUGACACUGGAUUUUGACCAAUCCUAUAAAUUCGGAGUACAAGAUAAUUGGAGUCACGUACAACAAUAAGAAGCUAGCAUGCGUGUAUAUGGGCACGGAGUCCAAAUCGGCUUCUUUGGAUUGAUCGGCAAGGAGAGGCAAGGAUGAUAUAAAGGAAUGGCCAGCACGUAUGGAUAAAAAUGAUUAGAAUAUACAACAUGGAUUCUGGUGCACUUUGCAUGCCAUGCGUGGGAGGCUUCCAGAAUAAUUAUGCAUGCGGCCGAUCUGUGCAUGUACGGGAGGUUGUUUCAUAGAAUACAAUAUUUUAGAGAUAGAGUUGGGUUAGUUAGAGAUAGAGUUUUUUAUUAGAAAAGAUUGUGUACGUGACUUGCCUUGUGCGUGGUUAGAUGCCAAUUAUGUAACGUCCGCCCUAUAAAUAUAAAGGGACGUGGCCAUUGUAAAGAAUAAUCACACGAUCAAUAUACAACGUAUUUAUCUUCUAUUUACCUUUUCGGCUUCACGCCAUUGCAUUAGGAGUAGGAGUAAUGUAGCUUCUCGACAAGUUCCUCCCAGCAAGCUUUUGUUGUCAACAGUAGUAAUAACCCAUUCAUAACCAGUUUGGUUUGCAACCCUAUAUUUAGCUUUGUCUACGUAUGUGUCGUAAUAAUACAUACCAAUAGCUGCACAAAUAGUAGCAAGUGCCCUCCUCCUCCUCUUCCUUCUUUGCAGCCACUCUUCAUCGGAAUCAGACGAUGAUGAUGAAUGAGCCGUAAGAAUCUGUACAAACAAAACAAAAAUGAUCAAACUUCAUGAACACAAAUCACAAAUAACUAAAAUGGCUCACAAAUACAACACAUGACAAAUAAAUCUUAUCAUAAAUAUAACAUAUGAUACACAAAUGGGAUGACAAAUAUAACAGAUGUCACAUAAAUGGGUUCACAAAAUAAAAUUGCUCACACAUAACAAGAGUUCACAAAACAAGAUAGUUCAAAUAGUUCAAACAUUAUUUUCGAUUCCUCUCAAGCAACUUCAAUCUAAAUGGUCAGUAGCUUGACUUGUUCCUGAUGCACUUCAUUUUCAGCCAUGUCAACCUAGCUUCAUUUGUAUUAAUGUUGGAAAAAACAGUUCGGUUGUAUCUUGUGGCAAACAACUCAGUGACCAUGAAAAAUUCUUCUGUACCACCUGAUGCUCCACAUUCCCUUGCCAACUUGAGGCUUUGUUCUAUCUUAUAAUCUUCCCUUUCCUGAAUUUUCCACCUUUCUUGCAUCUCCAUCUCCUUUUCCUUCCUCCUGUAUUCCCUCUCCAUCUCCUUUUGCUUCAUCUUUGCUUCCAUCUCCAUUUCUCUCUGCUUCUUUAUUUGUUCCAUCUCCAUAUCUUUUUGCUUCAUCUUUAACUCCAUCUUAACUCUUAUUGUGUUUGAGUCUUCAGAGCUUUUAGCUUGCAUGGUGUGGACAAGACCCUUGAAUAUGUGUAGGAACUGAUUUUUUCCCUUCUUUUUGACAAGAGGUUAAUCGAUCACCAGAAGAUCUUCCCAAAACUUCCUAAGAAGAUAUUUUUUUUUGAUUUGGCAUUAUUCAACAAGAAAAAAAGAAAUUUUUUGAUAAAUUCUUUUUUUUGAUGAUUAUGCGGCGGACAGACACUAAGAUGGAAUAGGCCCGCUAAUAUGCCUAAUGUACCCGUAACAAUAUGAUGCGAAGCUAUUCCUCCCGGAAUGAAAGGAUCAAAACCUUCUGCACCCCACGCAGGAGAUUGUAAAUUUUGAAACUUUAGUAUUUAUUUUUCUUCCGUACAAGAUAGUUGCCCUAGCAAAAGUGUUAGGCACCCUUCAAAUAGGAAUCCAUUUUCUAACUGGCUUUCGUGCUUUGGUGAGUCGUCCGAGAUCCUUUCGGUGACAUAGUACAAAUUAACCCUUUGUUCUUUUUUCUUUUUAGGUAUACCCUCCCCCGGGAAAGAAGAAUAGGACAAAAGAUAUGGAAUGCAAUAGAAAAUAGGAUAAAAGAUAUGGAAUGCAAUAGAAAAAAGGAUCCUAGCUUUCGUCUCUCAGUGUCAGUGUCGACCCAGCAGAGUGCUUUCGCCGUUGGUGUUCUUUCCGAUCUCAAUGGACUACUUAACUGGAGGAUUCACUGCAAAUAUUAGCUUGUCUCAUUAUUGCCGCGACAACGGCCUACUUCUUCACAUUCACCGAGCAAUGCAUGCAGUUAUUGAUAGACAGAAAAAUCAUGGUAUGCAUUUUCGUGUAUUAGCUAAAGUAGGAAGAACAGGUUGUUCCAGCUAGAUACCGUCAAAAAUUCCUGUGGGGGCAUCUUACUUGACCUGAUCCAUGUUGUGUUACGCGGCUCCUAAGAAAAUUCCCGUGACUCUACCUACGUCGGAUCCCGCUUCCGUUUUCCCCAUCUAUUGAUGGGUUGUUAACGAGUGUUUCCCCCAAAUGGUUUCACCGGUAAUAAAAGGUCAGGUAAUAAAAGGUAAAAAAAAACCAAGUUCACCUCACUUUCAAUUUAUUUUUCACUCUGUUUGCAAAACAUGCAAACAGAGAAGUUUCCUUAGUUUAUGAAAAGUAGGUAAAGCGGAACUGUGGAAGUCGGUAAAAACCCUCUCAAAUAGGCUUUUUGGUUCACAUAUCAUAAUCGCAUUUCUUUAUCCUAGUUAUGACUUUGAUAUUUUUCGAGAUUUUAUAGCAUGUUAAUUUAUACUUAUUGCAGAUGGCCUUUCUACGUAAAGGAGAUAUGCAAUAGCCCCUAUGUGAGAUUUUGGUAAUCUUUAUCGAAAUUAAAUCAAUUUCCUUGUAAUUAGUCCAAUAAAGUAUUAUAAAUAUCAGGAUUUAUUUAAAAAAGAACAUAGGAUACCAUGAACCAAUGCUUGAAACUUUGGUCAUAAAACUAACCUAAAAUUUGAGAAUGUCAUGUUCUUUUUUUUUCUGAAACUGAGAAUGUCAAUUCUUAGCGUCAUUACAUUUGAAAAAUCUAAGGUCGGCUUGUCACACGUCAGGCCAACGAAGAGGUUGUUUUCUCCAGCAGCAAUUGGCCCAAGUAACUGCGUACAGGCCCACCAAAUCAACUACAGUUGGGCCGAACCGGUAGCAAAAAUCGAAACGGACAAGUUUCCAAAGAAAAAGGAAAUACAACUAACGCGUACGCGUAUGCGUAUGGGUACAGGCCAUAUACAGCUUUCGAUCCCCCGCGUACGGAAUACGCUCUCGCUCCCCUGUCUUUCUCGCCAGAUCAGAUCGGAAAUUCCAAAGCAAGCUUUUCGUCAGCGAUUCGCCGAGACCCAUCCAACGCCGCCGCCAUGUCCGCCGCCGUCGCCGCCCCCGUCCUGCGCGAGGACGACCGGGGGAUCCCACGAUCCCUCCCCCUCCUCGCGGCGCUCGUAGAGGCGGAGUCCCGCCGUUUCGCCGCCGCCGCCUCCCGUCCCGCCGAGACCGGCCUCGUCCGCGCCUUCCGCAGCGGCGCCGCCCCGAAGGUCCCGAUCCGCAUCUUCAUGGAGCGGAUCCACCUGCUGACCCGGUCGGUGCCGACCUCCCGGGGCAUGACCAGGAUCGACGGCACCAGCUUCGUGCUCGCCGGGAUCUACUUGACUCGCUUCAUCCGCAGCCCCGCCGGCAGGGAGGCGGGGAUCCUGGUGGAGCCAGCCACCGCGCACCGCCUGGUUGCCGUCGCGCUCUUCCUUGGCGCCAAGUUCGGCGGCCACCCGCCCAGGAAGUGGAUUGGGGUGUUCCAGGCCAGCUCGGAAGGCGCGAUCCGUGCCGGCGAGAUGGUGGCCCUCGAGGGCCGCUUCCUGCGUGCAAUCGACUUUCGCCUGUUCGUAGAGACCUGGGAGUUCGAUUCCUUCUGCCUUGUGCUGGAGCGGGGGCCUCGGGCACCAAGGGGCGGCAGCGGUAGCGUUGGCUGCGCCAGCAAGAAGAGGCAGGCGGACGCCACGGUCGGAGAGGAUGAGCGCCGCCGCGUCCGAGCUCGCCUGCCGCCACCUGCCGUCUUGUCCAAUUAGGAUUUGUUUUCAAUUUGAAGUUUCGCCUUCAAUUCGCUUAUUAUUUCUUUUAGUUGCUUUUGAUUGUUCGUCUAUCUAUUUUUGCUGCAGGUACAAGGCUAGGAGUAGAAGUGUUCGAGGUGGAGAAGG
rnacentral:lncRNA from 1 species